rnacentral:lncRNA from 1 species
AUUAACUUUCCGGGAAAAUAUAGAUUUUCUCUACAAAAAGAAAAUGAGGGGACAAUAGUUGAAUGUGGCCAUUGAUGCCGCAGAUUGUCAUGUUGUACAUGCAUGUGUGUGUAGGAGAAAGAGAGAGAUUCUGUGCAUUUAUUUAUUUUUUUUAUAUUUUUUUGGCGGUAUUGUGGGACCUUCACAUGAUUAACGGCUAGGAUGAGAUAAUUUUUCGCGGGUUUUGUGGAUAGUGAAAAGAGGAAAAAGUUAAUUUUGAAAAGCAGUUAAAAUUGGCCUGCGAUGAAAUUUUGGGUCGGUCCACGCGGUUUUUUGACAAGGCGACGCGUAUUCACGUGCAUCUUUUUCGUGUCUGUUUCGAUAUGUUUUUCGCGCCUCAAACGGCCCCAUUCUUUCACUUCUUUUACAAUAUUUUUUUUUUUUUUUUUUUUUUUGUGGGAUGAAUGAUCAUGCAAUUCGGUCUAAGACUAACCUUUUCUUUUUUCUUUUUUUCUUUUCUUUUUAAUUCUGAUUAUCCAACGGGUAUCAUCAGUGUUUUACUGUAGAGUUAAUUCAAUUUAAUCAAAUUCUAUUUAUAAUUCUAUUUUUUAAGACCAAUUAACUCACAUUAAAAUUGUCACGAACUUUAUGUGCCUGCGUUAUUUUUGAAUUAAAGUCAUCUAUUGUCUAUGUGUGAUAAAACUAUACUAUAUAAAAAUUUGAUGAGUUAUUAAACCACUUCGAUCUUUCUUUUGUUAUUUAUCCUCUGACGUACAUAAUUUCUUAUGAUAAAAAUACAAGAGAUUUAAGAAGUCAUUUAGAGAGGGUUAUAAUUAUAUACUUAAGUUGGUAAUAUUAUUAAAAAAAAAGUGUUUCCUAACUUUGUUUUUAAGCAAUAUGCAAUGAAUUUUCUUACUUCAUUUGAGUGAUAAAAAAAAAAACUUUAAAAAAAAUUGAUUACAUGCCUUAAUGAUUGUGGUUGCUAAAAUAUUUCGUUAAUUUAUGUACCUCUUGCAUUGAUUUGAAAAAUCUAGACAAGUGCUAAAUAAUAAACAAUUGUUUAUUAAAAAACAAAAACUAAAAAAAUCACAUCUUUGCUUGGCGUUGUCAAUCUCGGCCACCUACUAGGGUAUUGUGAGAGUAUAGUGCUUGGUGCUGGCCUGUCAUUAACGCAACAAGAUCGGAUCUUGUGAGACCUCUUGAGGCCCAUCUGAACAAUUUUUAUUAUAACAACAACGUCACUUAAUCAUUGUUAAUUAUUUUCUAUGCAUUAAUCUUCUUGUGGGCAGAAAGUGAUGUGAUGUCGUUCUCGCUCGCUACUAUAAAAUGUAAAUAUUAAUGUUGGAUUUUGUCAAAUGCAAUGCAAUUUGCUUCACAAAAUCAUGUUGAUGUGUGUGAUAGCGACAACUUUCGAGAGUGGAUUUAAUACCAGAAAUUUCUAAUCUCGAUCUUGACUUGGCAUGCACGCUGGCUACCGCCGUGCAUUGCAUUUAGGCCAAAAUAUUUGAAGGCCGUGUGUGAUUUUGGUGCGUUUGAAAUGGGCCGGAGUUAAGGUAAAAGUUAAUGUCUGCCAGCUCAAGUUGCCAUAAGCUGCCUUUUUUUUUUUCCUUCUCAAUAGUCAGUCAAUCAGUCGCUGUUCGAAGCAACUUUUGCCAUUAAAGUUAGGGUUUAUGAGAAAUUCUUCACCGUCUUUAUUUACCUACCAAAACCAAAAUAAGAAAAAAAAAAAAAAAGGGUGGAAGGUGGGCUUUAUGAUUACUGUGAUAUCAUCUCAUCCAAGUUUAGGGAAUCUUUAUGGAUACAACAAAUUCAACACAAAUCAUUGAUGUGUUCACGUGACCACAUCUGCAAGAAUGAGGCAGCGGGUGUAUUAUCUCAUUGCUUUCAUGGGUCAUGACCACAAAAGAGUGAAACAAAGGUCCAAUCAAGCUAUUAAACAAACGCUUCUAAUUCUAAAUCACAGACAAAACUAACUAAUCUUUCUGUCUCUUUUAUUUUUAUAUGGUAGUGGAUUUACACCAAGAUUCUUUCUUUUUUUGAAUUAUUGAGCAAGAAUUCGUUAAUCCGAACAAGUUGCUUCGCCAUAAACAUAUGUGAACCCAAUUAAUAGUCUUAGAUUAUGCCCAUGAUUAUUGACAAAGUGAUUGAGAAACCUUCCUUUUUUUUUUUCUUUUCAAUAAUAUGAAAAGUUUUUCUCAUUAGAAUAAUUUCAUUGAGAAAUAAUUUUUUUUUUAUAAGAAUUAAGAAAUAAAUCUAAGAUGAGUUUAGUGGAUGUAUGUAGAUCUCACCUUUAUUCACACAAAUUUUUAAAUUAUUAUUCAUCCAUAUACGUACCGACUAUGCUAUCAUUAUAUAGAUUUAGAUUUUCAGCAAACCCCUGAUUUUACAAUACAUUAGUAUAUUGUGUUGAAUUACUAUUAUUGUUUGGUUUAAGAUAUUAUCUUAUGUUAACUAAGUAGAAGCUUCUAAUGAAUAUGGCUCCUCAGUGGAGAAGAGCGUAAUGAUGGGCUCAAAAAGUUAGAAGCCCAAAAUUUCAAAAGGCCUUUUAAAUUUGAAAGCCUUGACACGUCCUCUCGAACGAUACGCGCUUGACUUUAGACCGUUGAAACGAUCCAAAGCAACUUUUCAUUUUUAUUCAGAUCCAACCGUCCACGUUAACUAGCCGUUAUUUUCAAAUAAGGAAGCGUGCAAAGCCCUUGCCUUUUCUCCAUCUUCGUCCUUCUCAUUUUCCUUUGAUUCCGCUUCAUUUCUUUUUUCUCUCUUUUAAUCCAUCAUAAUAAUCAAAAUGAAAUAAUUCGAACAGAGUUCCAUUUGUGUGAGUUUUUCAAACUUUCAAAUCCAAAAGGGUGUUUGAUUUUUUUUUUAAUUUUGUUGUUAAUUUUUUGAUGAUAUUUGCUUUCUCUUCUUAUUAUUUCGAUCCUUGGUGUGUCAUAGAAUCAAGAAUGGGUGGAUUAAAGGAGAACAUUAAUGCAUGUCUCAUUGAAGGAGCUUCUAAUUUUCAAGGUAGCUUCCUUUAGAAUUUGAUGUAUCUUCCUAUUUUUUCAAAAGAGAAAUUUGUUAAUUCGUAUGUGACACAAUGAUUUACAGCUGCUUACAUUUUUUCUGUUUUUUUUUUUAAAUUCAGCAUGUCGCCUUUUUUAAUUUACUAUUAUUAUUUUGUGUUUUUAAUUUGAAUAAAUUCCGUUCUGAAGAUGAUGUGAGAUUGGGUGGUUCCAAGCAAACGAUGGAGGUGGUUCAAAAUCCCAGAAGGGCUUUAUCUGUUAUCAAUCAAAACAUUUGGGGAGCUACCAUUCGCUCAAAUGCCAUUAACAAAAAAGGAUUAGGGUAAAUUUUCAAUUAGUUUCUUUUUGUUAAGUUCUGGUUUCAGCACUUCCAGUCUUCAAUUUACCAUGUAAUUGAUCUGAACUAUACUAUAUCUUCAGGAAUGGAGUAGCACAUAAACCAAAUCCAGGGUUGGCAGAAGCAGUGAUUGGCGACGUUGAAGUAAUUUCUACAACCAUCAAUGUUAAGAUGAUUUAUGAUUUUGCUUCAUGUCUAGAACAUGAAAUUGAAUUACUAUUGCUUGAUUUGUGGUGUUAUCAGGAAACUAGAGAUGAUCAUACAGUAAUAGAUGUCGAAGACUGUGGGGAUGAUGAUGGUGCUGCAGUCCCAAUGUUUGUGCGGCACACAGAAGCAUUCCUUGAUGAGAUUGAUCGGAUGGUAUUAGAAUUUAACAAAUCUUAGUUAUGGCCAAAACAAAAUCUUAAUGCAAUGCACUGAAUUCUGAUGUCUGCAGGACGUUGAUGAACUGGAGGUUACAGAGGACCCCAUUCUGGAUAUCGACGGCAGAGAUUUGAAAAAUCCAUUAGCAGUUGUUGAGUAUGUUGAUGACAUAUAUGCUUAUUACAGGAAAAUUGAGGUAAGCUUUCUUCGAUAGCAAUUGAAAAUAAAAAGCAUAUUAUUAAUAUUAGUCACUGAAAUGCAUAUUGGUCAGCUGAGGGCAUCAUUACGAAUGGACUUGGCACCAAGCAAUAAAAAUUGUUCAGUUUUAGUCAUUGAGAAUAGUUACCUUUAAAUCUUUAAUGAUAGUUAGUUUAUGCAGAUUUCUAGCUGUGUUUCCCCCACUUAUAUGGACCAUCAAUCUGACAUCAAUGAGAAAAUGAGGGCUAUUCUCAUUGACUGGCUCCUUGAGGUGAAAACAGAAUUUCAUUGUACCUUUCAAGAUACAUUCUAAAUGUCUUAAGAGAUUACUUUCAUUCAUCUAAUAGGAUUGAUCAUAUGGACAGGUUCACUACAAAUUUGAGCUUAUGGAUGAGACACUAUUUCUCACUAUAAAUAUUGUAGACAAAUUUCUAGAGCGGCAGGUGGUAGUAAGAAAGAAGCUUCAAUUGGUCGGUGUCACAGCCAUGCUAUUAGCUUGCAAAUAUGAGGAGGUUUCGGUACCCAUUGUCGAUGAUUUUAUUCUAAUAUCAGAUAAUGCUUAUACAAGGAAAGAAGUGCUUGAUAUGGUAAUUUUUUUGUCUUUUCUCUUCCGAUCAAAGCUAGCCCCCUCUCAUGCACUGCUAACUAGCUUUGAAUGUUCAUAUGUGCUUGCAGGAGAAACUGCUGCUGAACACUUUACAAUUCAACAUGUCUGUACCGACCCCUUAUGUGUUCAUGCGGAGAUUUCUCAAGGCAGCUCAAUCUGAUAAAAAGGUGAGGUUCACUCGUAAUCAAGUAAUUUGGAUCUAGAAUUUUUUAGUCUUCGAUAUAUUAAAGGUUUGUCAUGCUCAUGAUUUCGAGCCAGCUUGAGCUUCUGGCCUUUUUCAUCGUUGAGCUAUGCUUGGUGGAAUACAAAAUGCUCAAGUUCCCCCCAUCCUUGCUAGCUGCUGCAGCAAUUUACACAGCUCAAUGCAGCCUUUACCAGUUGAAGCAAUGGACUAAAACAAGUGAAUGGCUAACCAAUUACCCGGAAGAUCAACUUCUGUGAGCUACUUUACUUUUUUGUUUUGCAAUAACAUGUAUCCUCAAAUAUGAAUCGAGCGUAUUUACAGCUGAUGAAUUUGAUAAUGCUUGUCAACAUAGGGAAUGCUCGAGAUUGAUGGUAACACUCCAUGAGAAGGCUGCAACCGGGAAGCUGACUGGUGUUUACAGGAAGUUCAACACAUCCAAAUUUGGCCAUGCUGCAAAAGCUGAGCCUGCCCUGUUUCUCUUAAAUAAUCAGUAGUACUAGUAGCACAGUGAUAGGUAUUUGGUUAUUUGGAGCGGUGUGUGUUUGCGUGUCCCCAGCUAAUUGAGCAACAGAAGUUGCCUUGCCCCCAUUGAACCUUGUUUUAUUCAGUCUGACAGAGUUGUGUUAUAAUUAAUUUAAGCAGGUGCUUUGGAUGUGAUAGAAUAAAGAUUGUUUCUCAAAUAAUUUUCAUUUUGAAGCUUUCUUUCAACUUCAAAUAUUGUUUUAUUUUAAGGUAAAACUAAAAUCUUUUCAUCAUGUGUUUUUUUUUAACCGACACUGGCAUUUACAGAGUCAGAAAGUCUUAAAAGACAAUUAACGAAGCCUUGAAAAUGAACAAUUUUUUUUUUUUUCAUAUAUCACCUUAGUAUGUUAGCAUGUCUUGAAUUUGACUUAUCCAAAUCCAGCAAUGAGCACAUUAAAUUUGCCUUGCUUAUAAACCUAACUUAACAGACAUUAAAUCACAGGAAAACAUCAUUGUAUUGCUUUCGUGUUGAUUAUAUAUAUACACGUAUAUUAAAUUGUAAUCAAUUCACAAGGAAGGAUGCAUGUACAGCAAAAUUGCAAGCACAUUCAUGUUCCAAUCUUGUGGCUUUGGAUGUUGAGAAGUGACACUCGGGUUUCAAAUCAAACACAUUUCAAAACUUCCAGGUCCUUCAAGAUAUGGUGUGCAUGAGUGUAGUUUCUCUAGGAUGUUGCGCACAUCAUCAGCAUUCAAAAUCAUCCAUUUCCAACGAGAGAGUACAAUGCAGCAUCCGGCUUCUCGAGUUGAUUGGUUGGUCCCAGCUGUAUGUUUCAGGAUUUGACUGGAUUGAAAUGUUUUGUGUCUAAUAUAGUGCAAUAUUACAUUGGAUUGUAAAAAAAAAAUUGAAAUGUUUUGUGUCUAAUAUAGUGCAAUAUUACAUUGGAUUGUAAAAAAAAAAUUUGCCUCAAAAUGAUUUUUUUUUUUUUUUUACUUUGCUCUUCCUUAGCAUAUCAUAUUUAGGAGGAGGUUUUAGCCUUAAAAAGAUUAGGGUCAAUUUCCCCGACGCUUGUUUUGACAAUCACACAAGUGACAAUCCAUUAAUUUUUAGAGUGCUGCUAGAUAUCAAAAAGAACGAGAGAAAAACAAGAGAAACUAUAAUCCAAGCUAUCGUUUUGACUCCUCUCUCUCUCUUAUGUCAUUUUUUUCUCUCUCUUUCUUUUCUUAGCACAUGCUUCAUUCUCUCGUCUUUCUGUCGUUCUUCUUGAUACUUAGCAUUUUCCUAAUUUUUACUGGUAAAGUUAAGGAAAAAUUUUGACAUGUUUCAAUGCACCCCUCAAUUUGUUAAAAAUCUCAACCCACAUCCCAAAGUUCCAUCAUAUUUACAAGUUGACUGAGAUAGACUAUUGAAAACACUAAAAUACCUUGGCAAUAUUAUUAUAUUAUUUAAUAUAACAAAUACUUAAAUAAGAAGCAAAAUAAUUUUUUUUUUGGCCUCUCUCUCUCUCUCUCUCUCAAGCGUGCUCUCUCUCUUGAAUUAUUUCCCAAUUUUCAUCAAUACCAAUUUUAAAUCUUAAUGGGUAUUGUAUCUAAAACAUGAAGCAAAGGAGGUGAGAGAAGAAGUUAGAGAUUUUUUUUUUAAAGAAAAUUACUUUUGCAGUUUACUUUUGGAGACUUAAAUUUAGAAAUAUAUUUUUAACUUGCUGAUACGUGUCAAUGUAGAGAUUGAUUUGUUUAUGGCUUCUUAUAAAAGGUCAAAAGUACCCCUUCUCGAUUAAAUUUAGCUGAGAUUUAAUUUUAUUUAGUAGGUGGAUUGAGUUUUUCAAUUUGUUGGGUGUUGCAUUGAAUUUUGUCAAAAUAUUUGGGGUUGGUUGAUUAAAACUCAAGUUAUCCCCUUAUUAAAUCCAAAACAAGAUAUAGGACGCACCCAGCCAAUUCACAAUCAAUCUAAUAAGACAAAUUAUCACAAAUUUUAUUAAUUUCAAAUGGGAUUUUACCAAAUCUGAUCACUAAUAAUUAUGAAUACAAGUUCGUUUGGCCAUUAUAACUAUAAAGUUUAUGAGGUUCAUUUUGUUUAACGAUAUUAACUAAAAGAAAAACAUUCAACCAAAAUCAUAAAGAUUGAUUUCGCUUUGGUAUCUUUAGGUAAUCUAUGAACAUCAUUUUUUUUUUCAAUAUUUACAGUUUUUCACACAAUUAUAUUUUGUUUAAAUUAUUCUUGUUUGUGCAUGGGUUCGUGCGUAAUCUACUGUAACAAAUAACCAAUUUCAAUUACUCUGGAUUUAAAAUAAUGGGAUUUAUUUCAUAUAAACAAAUAUCUUUGUCAACAUUUGUUAUGCUAGGAAAUUAAUUCUCUAAGAAUACGACAUCUCGUGAUUCUAGUUCAGUUAUAGUUUCGUCAUCACGUUCACCAAUCAAUACAUACCCUUUUGAGUACUCAUGAUAUCUUAUAAAAAUACUUUUUUUUUUCUCUUACACCCAAUUUUCCAUGUACAUGAGAAGGAUUGUGAACAUAAGCUGCAGACCCCUAGGGUCGCAAAUGAGUUAGAACAUGUUUUCUGCAUGUCCAUAACUUAUAUGAAGUGGAACUAAUUGACUUACUCGGGACUCGAUUAAGUAUGUAGGCAGCAGUCAGCAAUGUAUCUCCCUAGUAGGAUAUUGGGAGAUUCGCUUGCGCCAUCAUAAACCUAACCAUCUCAAGUAAUGUCAUAUUUCUCCUUUCCAUAACACAAUUUUGUUGUGGAGUCCCAUAAAUAAUUAAUUGUCUCUCAAUACCUUUCUUUUGACACAAUUCCUAGAACUGUUCAGAAAGAUAUUCACGUCCACGGUCUGUUCUUAAGAUUUUGAUCGUUUUAUCUAAUUGAUUUUCAACUCAUUUUAAUUUUUUUAAAGCAAUCUAAUGUUUCAGAUUUUUGAGAAAUCAAAUAGACAUGACCAAAACGUGAGUAAUCAUCAAUGAAUGUAAUAAAGUAUGAGGCGCCAUGUCUAGCCCUUACACUCAUUGGACCACAGAUGUCAGAAUAGAUAAUUUGCAAAGAACUUUCAGCUCUAGUUCCUUUACCAAAUGGUUUUCUUGUUGUUUUUCCAGCUAGACAACUCUCACAUAUAGGCAAUGUUAUUUUAUCGAGUGAGCCCAAAUAACCCUCUCUAGAUAAUCGAUGCAUUCUGUCUUGCCCUAUAUGUCCUAGUAUGGCAUGCCAUAUAUUAACAUCCACAGAUCAGAAGAUGUGAUCAAUGAAAAACAAUUUUGAUUAAUUACAUUCAAAAUCAUAAAAUCAUUAAGUAAAUAAUCAGUUUCGACUAGAGUUUUAUUAAGAACUAAUUGCAUACAAACAUAACGGAAUAUCACAUGAUAUCCCAUAUUUAAAAGUACAAUGACAAAUACUAAGUUUCGUCGGAUCUCUGGUGCAUAUAACGCAUCGUGGAGAUAAAGCAUUUGGCCACCAUGCAACUGUAAUUUGCAAGUGCCAAUCCCUUUAGCUUCAACCCUUGAGUUAUUCCCCACGUAUAUCCACUUAGUCCCUUGACUAAUCCGACGAUAUUCUACAUAGGCUCCACAUUCAUUUGCUACGUGUUCCGUUGCUCUUGAAUCUACAAUCCUCAAAGGAUGAGUUUCAGUCAUAUAAACGGAGCCUAUUACAUACAUAUUAUGUAAAUUUGUGGAUUUAGUAUGUACAUUUUUCGGCUCGAUGCAAUCACGAGCGAAAUGACCAAGUUUGCUACAAUUGUAACAUGUCACUUUGCUCAUAUCCUUUUUCUGACCAGCACAUUUACCUCUCUUGCGCUUACCCAAACUGGAUUGCCUCUGAGAGGAGAUUUUACCUCCUCUUUUGCGUUUAAAGUCCGAAGCUUUUCCCGAGUUAGUAUCAACCAUAUAAAGUUGAGCAGAAGAUUUAGCUGCCACUAGGCUCAUCUUCUAACUCCAUCAUGCAUUUGUUCACAUGGAUAAUGCACCAGAAAAAUUCCUAGAAAGAUGGUGGAGAUUAAAAAUCCCUCUCAGUACCAAAGUUUCUUAGGCUCAUGCAUUUUUGUCAGAAUUUUCCUAUAAAUGCAAUUUAUCCAUAUUACUACGUCAGGAUAAUUCUCAUUUUAUGUUUUAAGUAAUUUUGUUAUGCUCCCACUGGAGCACAACUCUCUUAAGGAUGUAUCAUCAUAUGCAAAAAAUAUUUUUUUUUUAUAUUUUUAAUUCUACUCAUAAUUAAAAUCCACCUCCUCGUGGGAUCGUCACCAUUAAUCUAUUCUACAAUAGAUUCGUGCACUUGCGAGUUCAAUAAAAUUUGCACAACAAGUUUUUGGCGCCGUUGCCGGGAAGGUAAGUUAUUUUAAUUCGUAAAAUUAAUUUUUAUAAAUAAUUUCUUUUAAUUUUUUUCUUGUAAAUUUUUUUUCUUAUUAAAAAAAAGAAAAAAAAUUGAAUCUGCAUUUUGAGGUAAGAAAUUUCUUUUCCUUUUCUCUUCUUUAAAAUUAUGUAAUUUAAUUUUCAAAUUAUUUUUCUUUGUAAUUUUUCGUUUAUCGUAUUAAUUUAUUUUAAUUUUUAGUUAAUUUAUUUCACGUAUUUUUUAGUGUGUUUUUAUAGAAAGGUUGUAACAGCGUGAUAAAGAGUUCACAAAAAUAAAUUUUUCUAUUAGCUUUAUAACCAGCUUUGUUUUCUCACACACUCACUGGAACACAUCUAUACUAUACAAAAAAAUGAAUCAGUUUCUAUCUACUGUUCUACUCUCCUCCGGUACUUUUUGGUUUCCAUCACCGGUCAAGCUCAGAGGUGGGUGAGUAUCUGCCAAACAUUCAUCAAUCAUUCGUUCUACGUCACCCAUAUCAUCUCCAAAUUCAAGAAUAUUACCUUCAGACAUAGGCAAUGGUGCAGGAAUACCUUCAGAGUGUUAUUAUGCGAUCAGCUAUAAAUGAAUCAAUUUCUACAUGCAGUUCUACACGCUAAAAGUGGACGUUUCGCUAACCAAACUUGUUUAUAUUUUUAAUACUUACAUAAAAUAUUAUUCUCUAAUUUUAAAGCAUUUAUUUGAUCAAAAUUGAAAUUAAAUAUAUAAACAUAUUAUAAAUUAAUUUUUAAAUCACAUCAAAAUAAAGAAUAAAAAUUUGAAGUGGUCGCCGCAAAUGGCGCCUAAAAAUUCAAUUGGGAAGGCGAUGCGUGGAAUACACUCUCCAUCGCCGCGAGUGGCAUGAAUAAUGAAAUCAAUGUUCAUCUUCUUCAAGCUCACCAAUUUUCCAGAUUUCGAACCAGAAGUUUAAAUGUUCCGUUCUCUCUCAAUACACGUCGGAAUUUUGCAUAUGAUAUAUUGAUUAGUAUUAAAAAUUGUUUAAUUAUCAAGCGAUAAUAUGUUAUUUUAUGCUUAUGUUAUAAUUUAUAUUUGUGUUUAUGUAAUAUAUUAUGAAUUAUGAAUUAUGUUUUAAAUAUAUUUAAUUUUGUGUAUUUUUAUGUGUUUAUUAGGAAAAUUAUUAAUUUCACGUACUUCGAGGCUCCAAACAGAUAAACGGAGGUCAAAUUUAGAUUCCGGAGGUCCGAAAACCUUAAGAUCAGUCAAGAUCGGCUUAAAAUUGGGCUUGUGUAAAAAAAGUUGACUUUUCCUGUUGACCGAGCAUUGAUUGGAUGAUGAAAUGAGCUUACAAUAGAUAUGAGUGCAUGGGAUAACUGGCAAUCUUGACUAAAUCUCAACCGUUCAUGAUUCAAUGGCCAUGAUUGUGCCACGUGGCAAUGGUUGGUGAAGCAAGUUGGAGGAUUCGAAUCUUUGUAUUCGGGUCGACCCGAUCCACCUAUUAACCCGCCAAAUCUCAACCGUUCUUUGGGCAAAUCGGAUGAGUCAAAUGAUGCCAUGUGUGAUGUUGACUUUUGAAGUUUGACCAGCCAUUGGAUCUUGAUCUAAGGGUUGUGAGGAGCACAUGCAUGAAGCCUAUGAUGGACCGCAAAGCACUGGAUUAUAAAUUUAUUUUUCUAUAAAUAGGGCCUCAUUUUUAUGUUUUAAGGAUCUCUCUACAACUCUCUUCUUCUCAAAUUCUCUCCAUCUCCUUGUAAUCUUGAUUUCCAGGUGUGUUUUUAAUAUUUUGUAUAAUUAUUUUCAUUAAUAAAAUUAGUUUUAUUUCCAAUUUUAGUUGUUUUUAUUUCUUUUAAUUAUAAGUAAUUCAAUUUUACUACUUCUUUUUAUUUUAAUUAUGCUUAACUAAAUAAUAUUAGUUAGGGGAAGGUGAAACUCUUAAGAAAUAAAUAUGAUUUAAUCAAAUUCUAUGUUUAAUUUUAUAAAUUAAAUUAUUUUCUAUUUAAUUUUAUACAUGUUUUAUAUUUUGAAAAUUUGAUUUAUUGUAGACAAACAAAUGAAUUUGGCACAAUAAAUUCUUAAGAUCUUAAUAUAAGGCAUGGUGAAAUGGUAUUUUGACUUAUUGUAGACAAAUUAAAUUUUGGCACAAUAAANNNNNNNNNNNNNNNNNNNNNNNNNNNNNNNNNNNNNNNNNNNNNNNNNNNNNNNNNNNNNNNNNNNNNNNNNNNNNNNNNNNNNNUUUAUUAAUUUUUAUUUAUUUCUAAGAGUGGAUCCAUAACCCUAACUAGUUCAAUUCCAUAGUUUCAUUUAAAUUAAGUUGUUUAUAUUCAAGUUUUAAUUUCAAUUUUUAGAUAAAAUAAAAUAAACUAAUUAAAUCUUUUCUCUGUGGAUCGACCUCGGACUCACCGAGUUAUAAUACAACAAGACACUCUUAUACUUGGGAGUUAAAAUUUACUUUUAAGUUGUGUCAUAUACCGUUGGAAAGAUCUUUUCAUAUUCAUAUGUUAUGUAUCAUAAAAGUUAUGAGUAAAAUAAACCUACGGGUUCAUAUCCUAGUUUUUCAUUUUACUCAUUACAUAGAUCAUAUUAAUCCUCAUGGCAACUAGGAAUUAAUCUAUACACCUUAAUAUGUUUAUUAAUCCAGUAGCAUGGCAUAAAAAACAAGUGAAUUAUUACAUGCCAUUAAUAUGUGUUCUUGAUGAAAAAAAUUAACCUUUUUAAAGAACAUGCUUGGUUUUUAUGCUUUACAUGCUCAAAUCAGAACACAAUCUAUUUAUCUCUGAUACCAAUGUUGAUUUUCGAGCAAGAAUCAACAUAAAAACUUGUAAAUCUAAAUUUAAACACAUACCCGGAUUAUAUGCGGAAAACUGAUAAACCAAGAUUGUGCUACUGAUUUAUGGUCGGAGGAUGACCACAAAGUCAGAAAAUCCUCUCAAUUCACAUUGCAAGAACCGUCUAAGCUUCUCUUGACUUGAAUUUUCUCCAAAUUGUACUUUUACUUAUUAUUUGCUUAGCUUCGCUUAUCUAUGGAUUUGCACUCUAUUUAUACCAUUCUAAAAGUAGUGAUCAUCUUCUUAAUGAUCACUAAAUAAACUUAAACAAAUGUUAGAGUGAUCAUCUUCUUAAUGAUCACUUAAUAUCUUUCACUAUAAUAUUGUAAGAUAUUAUAGAGUUAUAACUCAAAAUGAUCACUUACUCUUGGUCAUGCAUCCCUCAUGAGUGACCUCAAAGUGAUAGAACCCUAUAUAUAAAUAUAUAUUCACAUAUAUAUUUCUAACACGACCUGUGUACACAACGUUUGCAGCCUUUUCGCCGAUCUCAGAUACUAUGACUUUGACCACCAGCACCAUUAAUACAGACCACGAAACAAUUCCUCAAGGAAUAGAAAAAUCUACUAAAGAUGAAGACAAGAAGACUGACAAAAGACAAAAGAACAACAGAAUCUAAGUCUUACAAUCUACUACUGUGAGCUGGCUACUUAGUGACUACUGAGCAGAUGGAAACAAAAGGAACCAUAAAAUGGCUAACAAAACCAAAACGAAGAUCCAAAAGACUUGUUUAUUUUCACUAAUAUGACGUAUGCGAUCCCCGUGAUUGUUUCUAUGUUCAGCUUUUGCGCAUGCUCUUUCAUAAUCUUUUCUUUGUUGAUGAAUGCUUUGAAUCUUAAUCCAGCCAUUGCCCUUUCUUGGAUCACGCGGUGCUAUUGCUGCUAUUGUUUCUUUUCCCUCCUAAAUUUUUGUUUACUUUGUAAUUUCUGAUGAACUGCUCAAUCAAUUUUAUACACGUGUUUUUUAGUUACCUGUUAACAGAAUUGGGUUAUUUACUCUUCAGUUUUUUGUUUUUUUUUUUGUUAAAGAAGAUCAUAUGUUUAAGCAAAAAAACCAGUCCAGCCCAGGCCUUUCGGCUUUGGCCCGACCCUCUCAUGCCUGGAAAGGCCUGGCCUAGCCCAAACCUUGUAUUUUUCAAAAUUAGAAUAUAGAAUAUUAAAUUUUAUCAACUUAGUUUACACAUUAAUAAACCUAAACCUAAAAUUCUCUCAUAUGUAACACCCAUUUCAGCGUCCCCAUCCUCACAUUUCCAAUUCCAACCCUUCAAUUUUUUUUUGGGUUAAAUUUACUUGUUAUUUUUGUUAAAUGUAGUGAGAAAGAUCUUGUAAAAAGCAUAAGAUGAGAUUGAGAACAGCGGCUGCACUUUGAUGUAUUUUAGUAGCCUUAUGUUGAUUUUGAUGUCAAAGUUGUUGUACUCAUGACCUGUUAUUGCUUUGGGAUUAAUAGCAUAUUUGUUCAAACGUAUGCACCACCACUGCUUUGACAUGAGCUUAAUGUGUGUGUGUCGAUAUAUAUAUAGAGUAGUUUUCAAGUCCGGGAUAUUAAAGUGCGGGAAAAAUGCAGGAAAGCUUUAAAACCGCAGGGUUUUAAAAGAUUAAAUGUUUUCCCGAAGGAUCCCACACUUUAAAAUUCCAGAUUAAAACAUUUAUUUAUAUAUAUAUAUAAAUGCAUGCUUGACGCAAAAGCUUAAUGACCUUUUCAUGACCUGUUAUUGCUUUAGUUUAAUGGACUUUAAAUGAAGAAACUACAAACUAGCUUAGCUUGAGGUGACCAAAAUAAUAUGAAAUAAUAAUAAUAAUAAUAAUAAUAAAUAAAAAAUAAAAAUAAACGGGCCAAACGAAAACUUUUCAAGUAAAUUACCAAAAUGGAUUCUAAUUGAAGAAACUAAAAGCUAGCUGCGCAGCUAUUAGCACCCUUCCAAAACUCUCACAAAACCGCUUUCUUCUAUAGUCACCACUUUAACGUUUAAUUUUAGUUCAAUUAGAAAACAAAUUUCUUAUUAAAACCCUUGUUACCUUCAACGGCAUAAAGAAAUUUAAGGGCGGUUAGGGACUCACGUCUCUAAAUAACCAUUCGAGAAAGACAAUAACUAAUUCAUCCAUGAAAGAUAAUAACUAAUGUAAAAUAUAAAUUGGAAAACGGCUCCAAAAAUUAAAAAUUGGUUGUGAAUAUGGGUUUAGGGUUUGUGAUUUCAUAUUGAGAUUUUUUCUUUAUAAUUAUUUUGUACUCUUCGAAUUUGUUUUUUAAUUAUUAGAAGACAUCAUUUCCUUAGUUUAAAUUUUACUCUAAACUAGAAAAAGGACAAACUUGUAUCCGUACCUUAUCCAAUAAAAUGAAUAACAAAAAUCAAGCAAAACAGAUAAUCCAAACAACUUUUUUUCAUAACAUGACAAGUGAGCAAAUUAUUUUAUUUAGCAGGCAGUCUGAAAUAAAACAAAAAUUUCAUAUUAACUUCGGAGAGUUUAGAUCCAACGGGGUGUGCUAAGAGAGUGAAGUAUGGCUGUAUGAGGUUAUUUGUAAAAUUAAAAUAGAUUUUCUUAUAAUAAAGGUCCCUUUAGAAUUGUUUUUGAGAGGUUUAAAUGUAAUUCUAAAAAAUUAAAAGCUAAAUUUGGUGUUUCAUAAUUUUUUUUUAAUAGAACCACUUUCAGCAAGAUUGCCUCACACUACAGUAAUUUUUGAAAAGUAGGAAAAUAGUAUAUUUUUCAAAAUCUGAUUUUGAAAACUAGUUUUAUCUUUAAUAUAUAUCCUCAUAUAUAUUAUAAAACUCCAAAAUUAUCUUUAUUAAUUAAGAAUUAAAAUCAAUAAUUUUUAAAAAAUUAUCAUUAUUACCAAUUAUUUAGAGAUAACAAAAUAUAAAAUAUAAAAUGUGGAUGAUAAAAUUUGAAAGGUUAGGUCCUGUGGCUUUGCUAGAAUUGAUUAAUUUGAAUGAGAUAAAUAAAAAACUUUAUAUGCUAAAGAAUGAACAAUCCAAUGCACAGAAAUACUGAAAUCACUGGCCUACAAUUCAUUCAAUAUUUAUAAGAAAAGUUAUUAAUGAACCACCAUAUUUUACAUCGACAAUUUAUGUACUCACGUAAAUUAUUUUUAACAAAGCCUUGCACCACCUAACUUUUCACAUUUUGUCAAAAAUUUUCAACUUAACCAUUAUUUAUAACUAAUUAAUUGAUUAAACUAUUUUAACAUUCUGUCAUAAAUUAUUUUUUAUAUAUUUCAAUUACUUGACAAGUUUCUAGUUAUCUCAAUGGAAAAGUUUUUUUGUUGUGUGAGCCGUGGAUUGAAAUCGUUAAAAAUGGUACUUAAACAAUUCAUCAGCUCUUUAAAAAAGCUGCACAAUCUUUAGAUUCUCAAGACUACUUCCAAAAUCUCAAAAUUGGAGCUUCUUUUCAAAAGAGAUAAAUAUAAAUUCUCCUCCAAAAACUCAUUCUCUCAUUACACUCGAACAAAGUUAAAUAAAUAAAAUAAAAAGAGAUUUUGAAUGACACUAAUAUCUCUCUCUCUCUCUCUCUCUCUAUAUAUAUAUAUAUAAAAUAUUUUGGCAAUCAUAGAAGCUUCAAGAAACCGGCUAUACGCAUUGUACUUGUUGCUCCUGGCUACUUUUAAUCCAUUCAGGACUCGUCUAAUAUUUAAGUAUGGUUAUUGUAAUACUUGAGUUAGAAAAUUUAACGGAAUUACUUUAUGCAACUGAACUUGAGUCACACCUAUAUUGUCAACAUAAUCCUCAAAACAAUAAGCUAAUCCUGAAUCAAACCCAAAAAUGGGGAAGAGAAAAAAGAAUAAAAAUCUAAUAGGGAGAGAAUAUAACUAUACAAGUAAGUCCAUGAUAUACGGAGCCAUCCAGCAGGCCACCGUACUUACUGGGCAGCAAGAAUUUGAUUUCAUAUUCUACAAUUGGCAGCUGCAGCAAAACAGGAAGACAUUAACAUAAUGAAUUAAUGAUAUCAGAAAACGCACGCAAGAAGAAUUUACCACAUGAUUUACAAGGGGUAGGUGAAAAAUAAGGAUUAUUAGAAACAAAAUUGUUCUUGCUCAAGCUGAAUUUAUAUACUCACUACAAAAGAUAAACUGGUUGAGAUCAAGAGUGAUCCUGCCCUGCUUAGCUGUAUCAAAUGAAUUAAACAGAUUCCUGAGGAAAAAAAUGAAUAAUAAUCUCCCCAUCAGCAGAAUGGCAUUAAAUUUUUGAAUUCAUUGAUAAAUACCAUAAGCGCUGCACUAUGUCUCAAGACUCGUGCAAUUUUUGUGGAAUGUGAGGGCAUUUAUGUCAAUCAACCAUCCCUAAUCACUCAAGGUGCAAUAUUCAACAUGAAAAUUUAAGGGAUUCAUACCGAGCAGACUGCAAAAAUAUACAAAGGGAUAUGAAGUCAUCCAGACGAAGUCUUCCAUUCUUAUUCUGAUCAAAACUCUGAGUGAUAAAGAAAGCUAUCAGAUUCAAUGGCCAAAAAAACCAAUUCUCACCUUAUAAAGGAGAAUAAACAAAUUAUUCACUACCAAACAAGAUAAUAGUUCAGAGAAGUAAAUCUAAUAAGGCAGUCCCAGUUAAACUUUGAUGAAAGGUAAGAUCUCAAAGACGUGUAGAGUUAUUUUGUGGAACAGAUCGUAUUUAGUAAUAUUACAGCAAGACUGCAGUACACAAUGUUGUACGCCUAGAGACGGUGACUGAACAUCCUCUCUAGCUUCCAUUUGCAAGCAAGGAUAAAUAUAUAAUAAGCACGCUGAAUAUCCAAACAAAUCGCAGAUGUAAAGCCACAACAGUGGCAUGUACUAUACUGUAAAAGGUCUCUAUUUGGAAUGUGUUCCACAUACAGUAGUAGGUCACAUAUUUCAUCACUCAAAAUGCUAAUACCAGCAGCUUACAAAAUAACUGAUCAAAGCAAUCAAGCUUACAAUUUUACUUGAGCAACUAAAGAGCUAAAAUUCUUCUAGAUCUUGUAUAAGCAUCUAGGUUUGCUUCAUGUCCCUAGCCAUUAACUCUAGAGUAAAAUGAUCAAUGUUAAAGUAGUACAUCUGCAUUAUUUUAUGUGAGAAAGAUCUCUUUUAAUUUAAAAUAAAAAAUGCUCGUGCAUACCUCACAGACUGUGUAAAAAGCUGGUGAGUCCAAAGAAAAACCAAUUUUCACCAAUGCCUGUAAUUAGGUUCAGCAGUUACAAUCCAGAAUUACAGCUCCGACAAGAAAACAAAGGCAAAUAAUUAUAAAUUAGAACAGGCAUUCUUGAGGCUAUGCAACACAUCAUUUUUUCAUCUAACUAACAGUCAAAACCAUGUCAAAAGAUACCUCAUACACGUUAUCGGGAACAAGAUAUCCACGACCCCUGCAACAAUGAACCCAAAAACUGAGAUAGAGUGUAGAUAUACAAACUUCUUGGACCAAACAUUUGUACUGUAUCUCAAAGCUACAUCAAAUCUUUAUCUAAAUAGUGAAGAAAAAAUAAAAAAUAAAGAUUUUUCAAUUUUUCUUUAUCUUAGUAAUGAACUAAAAAGUUUUAUAUAACACUGCUUAAUACAACGAUUACCUCUCCAGGUCUGAGAAGGCAUGUUGAACCUGCAAACAAGUUUGAGUAAAUAAUUAUCAUUUCUUCUUCUAUGCUCGUGGAUAUACAUAAUAAUACAGAUUAUAACUUGCACUUAAGAGAAACAACAAAUAAGUUAAGGGUACAUUUCAUUCAUAAUCUAGAAACACUUUCAAAACUAAAGUACAACUGAAGAUUUUUUAGAUAUAAUAGGAUAUAAUCUUAAAGAAGCUAGUUUUUGGAAUGAGUUUGAAAACUAUUUUCAAAGACUCUCAACAGAACACAUUUUUCAAAACUGCGAAAACAUGUAUGGAAUCAAAGACCUACACUAAAAUAGUAAAAUUAAACAGGCCAUUGUCUUCAUGUCGAACCAUAGAGCCACGAACUCUUUACAGUUUGGAGACUAGUAUUUGACUGGAUAAAAAAUGAAUGUAUCAGUUAUUUUCGAAAACAUACAACUGCAUUCAGAUUGCAGAUCACAGAGCAGUACAGUAACUAAGCUUCUUAUUGAAUCAAGCUCAUAUAUUUUAGUUAAAAUUACAAAUUUUCACUUAACAGAUUAAAAUCAUCACAAAAUGGAUAAAGUGACAGUUGCUAACCUUUAGAAGGAACUUGUUAAGCUCCACAAAUUCUGGAUUCCAAACAAAAAAAAAAAAAAUCAACAAAUUAUAGUAAAUUAAUUAAAAAAAAAAGUAAAUAAAAACAAAUCAUUCAAAACUAAACUUACCCUCAAAGCUCAUAGUACCAUUCCUAUCAAAAUCAUACAUCCUUGGAAAAUUAAAAAAAAAAAUUAUAUUUGUCAGCAAUUUACCAUACACACACGAAAAAAUAAAUCAUUGAAAAAAAAUGAAAGAACCUGAUCAUUUGUUGAACAACAGAGAGAGAAAAAUCAAGAUUGCCAACGGCGAAAGCGUGCUGACAGAAAAAAAAAGAAAAGAAAAGAAAAGAAAACGACACGUCAGUUUGCGUUGUGGUUAAAUGGAAAAGAUAAUUUGUUUCAAUUUGAGAUGAUAUAGAAUAGAAACAAUGAGCAAAGAGAAGUUUAAACCUUGAGCUGAGCUGCUGCUAUGCUUCCUGUUUUUUCUGAGUCAACUCGAUCGAACCACUCUCUCAAAACCGCUGUGUUCUCCAUUUUCCUCCGCUUCAGAAUAAUUUAGUGUUUUUCCUUUACUCGCGAUUUAAAUAUAAAUGGAUAAUAACAUUGAGAUCCAUUAUAUUUCGUUAUCUUCUUAAAUAAAGCAUAUUUUUUCCAUAUACACCAAAUAGAUCCGCGAUCCGUUCCCUUCUGUAACAGUGUAAUCAAUCAGUAAUGACCAGUUUCACAGAUGAGGCCUUAUCACAUAAUUAUCACACAUUUUAUCUUUUUUUUUUUUUAAUUCUUUAAAAUGUAGGACAUGAUAACAAUAUAACAAGAUUGUUUCAGUUUGUCGUUAAUACGUUUAAAAGAUGUAUAAAAUUAUCAAAAAGUACUUAAAAAUUAUGAAAAUUAGAGUCAAAAUUUUUUUUUGAAUACUGAUUAAACAUUAGAUUACUGUAUUACACAGAUAUUUACAACAACUACUAUUAUAACAGAUAUAUUACACUGAUAAUUACAAUCAGAUAUACAUAAUUAAGAUUUAUAUUAUUACAUUAAAUUCUGUAAAAUACAUGCCCAGACAAAUAAUCUCUCACAGAAGAAGAAUGUCUAUACUCCACUCAUAUUUCAUAAGAAAGAAUAAUUUUUACAUAUUAAGAAUAUUUAGCUCCCACAAUAUUUUUAUAGGAGCUAAAACCGCUGCCCUCAUAAGACAUUUGUGGGGGCUAGAAUCGCUGCCCUCACAAGUCUUGUGAGGGCAGCAGCCCACCACGUCGGCCCAGGCCGAAGUGGCAAUUAGAGUCAAGUUACUAAAGCAAUUGAGGGACAUGGGGACAUUUUAACCACGUACCCCCGAUUUCAAGAUUUUUCUAUAAAUUCCCCAAUUACUUCCAUAUUUAUACUUACAGUUACCAACCAUCAACCAAGGGGUUAAAUGAUAGAUUAUUCCAAUUUCUUUGGAUCAAAACAAAUUCGCACGUGACACAUGCGAGCCGAGUCGCCAACGUUGUUGAGUGUCCUCCUCCGAGCGUCGAAAGAGAAUUAGUGGGUUUGGUUGGGUCCCAAAACGACAACGCUCCCUCCAUCUCUGUAAGUGAUUUUACCCCAGCGUCUGGCGCAUCUCUGUAAGAGAUCUUAUCUCUUAAUUUUUUUCAGUUCAAUGAACUUUUAAUUGAUCAUCGAUUAAUUAAUUGGCUUAGUUGGACUCAAAGUUUUCAACUUUUCUAAACUCAAGAAGAGAUAUCAUUUUGAGGACUGUAUUUUUUCCUUCUUCAAUUUUCUAUGAACUUUUGAAAAAAGAAAAAAAAUUGGGUAUUGCCGUUUCUCAUGGCAUAACUAUUUUCAUGAAUAAAAUAAGAUAUGAGAACAUAGUUUUAAAGCAAUUUUAUUUAUUUUUUAAUUAAAAAAUGAUGAUUUUAAUCUUAUAUUUGUUUUUGAUAACAUUUGUUUUUGGGUGUUUUGUAACAGGUCCAUGUCCAUUUGGCUCAUCAAAUGUUGUAUUAUGAGUUUGUUUGUGGGUUUGUAGUUCCAUUAUGCUGGUGGUAUUUGAGAGCAUAGCCCAAUUAGAAGUUAGUAUAGCUCAUGAGGAUUGCAAGUUAUCACAAUCUCGUUUCUUUGUUUGCUUAUGCGACUCCCAUAUGGGCAAGUCUAAUUGCCGGUGUCCUAGUAGUAGUGACCCUUUCACUUUCGAUGUACCUUUUGUUUGACCACCUUUCUGCAUACAAGAAUCCCGAGGUUUUUGUUAAUUUGUUGCUACACUUUGUCGAAUUUUUAUUGAGAUCUUCAUAGGUUUUGUACUCUAUUAUUGUUUAUUCACUUAUAUUCUUCUUUUGUCCCUGUAUUCAGGAACAAAAGUUUCUGAUUGGAGUUAUUUUGAUGGUUCCUUGCUAUGCAGUAGAAUCAGUAAGUUGUUUAAUAAUCAAUUUGGCAUAAAGAAGUUACUAUCUUCUUGAAUGGAUGUACUUUCCAUCUGUAGAGAAAGAUGAGCUAUUCAAUUUCAAAUUUAGAAUCUGGAUAGGUUUUCUUUUGUAACUUUUUGACAGGUUUGGAUGGGCGAAUCUAGUAUGAGACUGCAUGUCUCUGAAUUACUAGAUUGGAUAUUAGAAGUGAUUUGGGGAUUAUGUGAUACAUUUUUAUACAUCACUGUAAAAUGAGGUGACAUAAUUGUAUUGGAAGGUUCAGUGUUUUGUUUAUUGGUGUGGAACAUAUUCGAGUGUUUUCCAAUGUGAAAAUAGUUUUUCCUGUCCUAUGUACAUUGUUUGGUACUCCUUCCCUCUGCUGCAUCAUUCUCUUUUCCUAACAUGGAUUAUUUUGAACAGUUUGUCUCAUUGACGAAUCCAACAGUUAGUAUUGACUGCGAAAUACUACGGGAUUGCUAUGAGUCCUUUGCUAUGUAUUGCUUUGGAAGAUAUCUUGUUGCUUGCCUGGGUAUGUAGUUUUCAAUAGCUUUCUCAUGCAAUGCGAAUUUAUUUUGAAAUAGAGAAUUCCUUUCUUAUUCAUUUGUUGGUCUCGUAUUUAUGUGCUGAUUCUCAUUCUUGUUCCUAUGGUGUUUCAUUUUUUUAAAUAAUAUAUCAAAGGGGGGGAAGAGAGAACUAUUGAGUUUAUGGAAAGAGAAGGACGUGCAAGUCAUAAAGCUCCGCUGUUAGAACACAAUUCUGAAAGAGGAAUUGUGACACAUCCAUUCCCAAUGAAUUAUAUCUUAAAACCAUGGGAACUUGGUCGAUGGUUUUACCAACUUGUCAAAAUUGGAAUUGUUCAAUACGUAUGUUUUCUUUCACUCACUGAAAGAUUAACUUUUGCUGCAUUUUACUCUUCUUUUUUUUCAAUUUUUUCUUUCUUUCAUUGUUUAAUAGCGGUGGGUUAUAUGUUUGUCUGGCAGAUGAUAAUAAAGUCUCUCACUGCUCUUUUGGCUGUCGUUCUUGAAGCCUUUAAUGUGUAUUGUGAAGGAGAGUUCAAGUGGGGAUGCGGGUAAGAUUAUUUCAUGGACCAUUAAUGAUAUCUUGUUAGCACAAAAUUUCACUGAAUAAUUUGAAUGCUUGAUUGUGUUCUAUUUUUCAUAGAUUAGCCUUCUGAUCAUCUUAUUUAAUGCAUAACAAAUUUUAAACAGCACGCAGCUGGGUUGAAUGGUUUGAAUCUUGUUUUAGGUCUAUCAGUCUCUUCGUGGGUGUGGAGAAUUGUUUGUUAUUUGAUAACCAUGCAAUAUGCUGUUAGGAAUCAGAAUGAUUUCAUGUGGACAUGUUUGCACCUAUUCUCAAUUUUGGUUUGUAUUCUCAGGGAGUUUUGCUGUUUGAAAAAUAGGUGUCUUUUUGAACUAGUGGUGUUGACUGUUAAUUUUUCUAGAUCUGAAACAGUGGGCAGCUAUCAGUGGAAUUUGAUUAAGAAAUCUCUUAUUCUCUGUGCCUUCUUGUGUUUUUGUAGGUAUCCUUAUAUGGCGGUGGUUCUAAAUUUUAGUCAGUCUUGGGCUUUGUAUUGUCUAAUUCAAUUUUAUACAGUCACAAAAGAUGAAUUGGCACACAUAAAGCCAUUGGCCAAGUUUUUGACAUUUAAGUCAAUUGUAUUUUUGACUUGGUGGCAAGGUGUAGCAAUUGCUCUUCUUUAUUCCCUUGGUUUGUUUAAAAGUCCUAUAGCUCAAGGCUUGCAGUUUAAAUCCAGUGUCCAAGACUUCAUCAUUUGUAUAGAGGUAUGCCUUCCAUCAUCUUCAAACAUUUUUUGAUGUUUCUCAAGUCUUUCAAGAUUUCAUGUCACCUGCUUCCACAUUCAUAGUUAUUCUCUAACGUCAUAUUUUUCUGUAGUCUUUAAAACAUUGUUUCUCCUGCCAAGGUUUAUGAAUGUUAUAAAUCUCAUUAAAAUAUUGAAGUUAAACAAGCACUUGUAUUCAUCCAGCACAGAUGGCAAUUGCUUCUAUUGUUCACCUAUACGUAUUCCCUGCAAAGCCUUACGAGCAAAUGGGAGAGUGCUUUUCUGGGGAUAUUUCGGUCCUUGGAGACUACUCUGCUGAUUGUCCGCUGGACCCUGACGAGAUUCGGGACAGUGAGAGACCCACAAAGUUACGGCUACCCCAGCCAGAUGUUGACAUCAAGAGUGGAAUGACCAUCAGAGAAAGUGUCCGGGAUGUUUUUGUUGGUGGCAGUGGAUACGUAAGUUUUUUUUAUCCUAUGAUGUCAUAUUGAAGCAGCCUGGACAGGUGGAUCUUUUCACCAUUGCAAGCUAUAAGAAAAAGGAAUAGAUUUGCUUUAGUUGCCUGGACUUAGUUUUUUGCUGGUUGCCUGGAAUAUCUUAAUAUUGUGGGAAACAAAAUAUUGUUCUUGUGGGACAGAUUAUAACUAAUUGCCGUUUGUAUACUCCAUAUAGAUUUAUGGAUCACUUUUGUCUCAUUAAAUUUUAUUUUAUUGUUGUAAGCCUGUUCUUAGUCUUGAAUCUGAUGUUUGCUUUCUAUGCAGAUUGUGAAUGAUGUGAAGUUCACUGUAAACCAAGCAGUAGAGCCUGUGGAGAAGGGGAUUACAAAGUUCAAUGAGAAGAUACAUAAGAUCUCCCAAAAUAUAAAGAGGCAUGACAAGGAUAGGAGAAAAACAAAGGAUGAUAGUUGUAUUGCCUCCUCACACACAAGGAGGGUGAUACGUGGGAUUGAUGACCCCCUGUUAAAUGGGAGCAUCAGUGAUAGUGCGCCCACAAGGAAGAAGCACCGCAGAAAGUCAGGAUACACCAGUGGCGAGAGCGGUGGAGAAAGUAGCAGUGAUCAAAACUAUGGUGGUUACGAGAUUAGGGGUCGAAGGUGGGUCACCAAAGAUUAGUUAAGAGGAGUUAUUGUAGCAAUUUGGACCCAAAAAGGGGGAAAAAAGAAAAAGAAUCUCAACAAGGAUGGUUCUGGAAUGAAGCACGAACUGUUCAUAUGCGGGCAUUUGGUUAGAAGAGUGCAAUUUUCCUCAUGAGGUUCCUGGAUCUUGCUUUACAUAUAUAGAACAUUUACUGCUGCACCAGGAGGCUGCACGUGUAUAUGAUUCAAGAAUUCUGUUGUGGAUUUUUUGCCGGUAAACUGAGGUGGUUAUAGGUGAUCAAUGGUGUACGUUAGGUUUGCAUGAUGGAAUUCAAUUUGUUGUAUAGAGUUUCCUGAAGGCUUGGGUGAUAGUAAAUGCCACUGGAUUGGGAAAAUUGCUUUUUUUGUUUUCAACAGAUUCAUCGAGUAAAAUGUAACUAUGUCCUGUCUUAGCAAUGCAUUGUAUUAUUGACAAAAUGCUUUCCAUUUUCUUGUAAAUUAGUAGUGCAAGUCUGCUUUAUUCAGGUUUUCAUCAUGUAGAUUCUUCGGUGACUGGAUGCUUGUACAAUCUCAAUUGACAAUAAGCUACGACAUAGCACACACUUUUCCCUCAGACUUUUCUCGCAAAAAUCUAAGGGUACAUAAGCUCUGACGAUAUUUCCCAUCUUGUAACCAAAUUUCCUAUGCUGAGAAUUACAGCAUCAGUCAGGUAAUUCAGUGACUAUAAGAAAAUUAGAAAAGAGAGAACAGAAACAUAUCAAAAUAUCCUUAACGACAGCAAAUUAGGGAGCCUGAGGCUGAUUCUCCUAGGCGUUCAACAAUCAGCAUUCACUUCAUUGCGCACUCUUUGCCAAUGGAGACUUAAAAUAUAAUCUUAAGAGUAAAUGAUGCUUCAUUCAAAGCCAUUACAGUGCCCAUAUAAUCUUCCAGUUAGAAAUUGCUGGCAAAAACUACCAACAACUCGAGCUCAAUAAUAUCCGGCCUAACUCUUCUAGGCAGAUUCAGCGAACUAUUGUACAACGGACCGAAGUUCUCCAGUAAGCAGAGCAUUUUUCCGGUGCUGUGACAGGAUGUUGUGGACUCGGACAGUUUCAAUCCUUGAUGCCAAGUUAUCACAAUUGGGCUCUGUAACUUGCUUAACGGCAUUAAGUAGUGUCUGCAAGAUUUGUAGGGGAUCACCAUGGCUAACAACCAAAAUUGCGCAUCUGCAAAACAAACAUAAAGUAAACACAAGAAAUUAGGGGCUAAUUACCUCAAGCUACUAGAAGGAUGAAAUCAUUGCAGUUGUAUAAGCAUUCUACAGGACCUAACAAUUAUCACGCUAAACACCUAACAAUUAUCACGCUAAACAAUAUGAUAUUCAGGUAACAUGAACAAAAUGUUAAGCAUCUUAUCAAGGAUUUAAAAUUAAUGUUUUUUUUUCCACAAUAUCAUUUGAAUUUCUUUGAGAAUUCAGAUGGGAAAUAUUUUUCUGCUAACUCAUACUACUAAGGUUUUAAGCAUUCUGAUCCAGGAUCAUAUUUUUAGUUGUUAGCAAUCCAUAAUCAAGGAGUCAUCAUUCAUGUUGUUACUUAUUUGUUUGCUUUCAAAUUUGUAUAUCCUUAUUUGUUUGCUUCCCAACUAGUAUCAAUGUCAGUGUCUUAGAAACAUAAAUGCAGCAUUUAUUCUCAAAUAAUUCCCUGAUUUGUUUUCCGGAAUGCCAAAUAAGGAUGAGCAUUAUUACCCUUGAAAUUCCAAUUCCAUAGCUGCCAUAGCAGUUGCAAGUCUAGAAACGACGUCAUUGACACUUUCUCCUCCCUCCGGUCGCAUGAAUGGAUCUUUCUCAUCUAGGGCCCAUAUCUCAGGAUACUGCUCACGGAAGGAAAUAGGAAAUAAGAAAGCCUCAAAUACUAUGCAAUUAGGGGGAAAACAAAAACUUGUGCAUAGGUUCAAAUAGAAUAGGUCAGUUGAUGUAGAUAUCACCACAUAUCAAUUAAACCUUCACCCUAAAUGCUUAUAAUGCCCCUAUUAUAAAGCAGAAGCAAUCUUUCAUAUGCCACAUUUAUACUGACAAAUGACAAUUAGAUUUCAUUAAUAGGACACAUACUUUAUCAUGUGACAAAAGUUCAAAUGAAGGGCCAAAGAAACGUUCUCGAAGAUCUUCCAUCACCUGCCCAGCAAAAUUAACUUCAAGAUCAGUGCAAGCAAGUGCGUGAUGAAAAACAAAUGUUUCAUUUUAUUUGUCAAAAUAAAUUAGCAAUUUUUUGUCCCAAACCUACAAUAGAAAGGAAAGAAUACUGAAAAUAGAGUGUGAAGUUCUGUUUGACUGAAUAUAAGUCUCUUUUGAGAAAACAAAUACACAAAUGCAAAGUAUUUAUCCUCAUCUCUGGACAAGUCAGUAAGCAUUAGCUGAAGCAUUUAACAUACACAUGUAUGUUCUGUCUAUUAUUCAAAGCAUUUCAAUGCAAAAGCAUCUGGGUAAUCUCAAUAAGAUAAAUCUUUGCAAAUUAAAGCAGCUUACCUUACAUUGAGGACCUUCAAAAGGAAGAUUCAAAACAGAUGCAACGACUUCAGCUGUGUGUGUUGUUCUUGAAAAUGGAGAGUAGCAUAUGCGAACAUUUUCCAGCGGAAUAUUAUUUUCAUUCAGUUCCUACACACAUAAUAAAGUUACCCAGUAUGUGAAGAAGAAAAUACAUUUUUCUCUUUCUCAUUGGCCAAAUGAGUCUGGAUAAGAUAAUGACCAUCGGAGACAACCAAAAUCUAUUUCUUCUUGAUCUUCAUUUAUAGGUACCCGCUUACUGUUAUAGUACCUACCUAUCUUGCAAAUCUGGGUUUAUCAAAGGUGGAUCAUUGACUCAAGCUAUUAUCAUCGUACACAUAAUCUUCAGGAAAGCACGCACCAGAAUCCAAUACCAUUCCUAAUGAUUAAGCAACUACCCCUUAAUGGAUGCACUCCUCACAAACACUAUUGAGUACCCCAGAAGGCAUACACUAGCAAACAGCCAUACAAAAGAUAAAAUUUUGGUUCUAGAAAUAAUAAUUCUUGACAAAAUGAAAACCUAAGACAAUUCAUUUUGCUUAGCAAGAAAAACAUGAAUAAAGGAAUGACAAGCAUGAAAUGUAAAUACCUUUAGGAAUAACUCUCCAGCCAACCGAGCUUGAUCCACUCCUUCUGAUGCUAAUUGAUACUCGCGACGCGUGCCAUUUUCCUAUUUUUGUUAAUCAAAACUAAGUAAACAACUUCAAAACAAAAAUGGGAUCAUUAAAAAGAAAUUAAACAAAAAAAAAGAAUUUUGUUAUCACGAUGAAUGUAUCAGACAUGAAACAAAACCAGACAAUGAUAACCUAAGAUUAAACUAAACCGAUAUGGCAUUACUCAUUUCCUCGUACAAUUUAAAAGCCAAAAACUUGAUUGCUCAUUACAUCACAUAAAUAUUUGUAUAGUAAUUUAUAAAUGAACGUGAGUAAUAAAUAUAAAAUAAAAUAAAGCAGAGUCUGAGUGAAGAGAAAAACCAACGAAGAAACUAUGAGUCCUUUCUCAUUCGGAAUGCUUUUGCCGUGCCUCAGAACCCAGUAUUUGUUGCGAAGAAAUGGGGUCGUCGCCAUGUUUGCUGCUGCUGUUUGUUUCUUCUCUGAUAGUGCAGUGUUGUUGAGUAUUCACUCCUUUAAGUACGAGUUCUGAUGAUGAUAUCUUGAUAUCCUCUUGAGGGAGGUUGGGCAGUUACUGUUAAGGCUGCGUUUGGGACAACAAAAAUAAAUGCAUAUUCAUUUUUCCUGUUUUUGAUUCUUUUCACGUAAUAUCAUAUUGGUCAUUCUAUUAAGUCACUAAAAUAAAUGCAUCAACAUUGUAAUUAAACAAAAGAGUGGGACCAUCGGCGCCCUUCCAAAUUUCUCUUAAUUUUUUUUAAAAUUAUUUUCUAAUUUUAACUUUUACUAAAAUUAUAAUUUUUACUUAAAACUCCACUAAAAAAUCAAGUAAUUUUUUCCUUAAAAAAACUAAUAUUUAAAAAAUAAAAAAGAUUGUAUUUUCCUUUAAUUUCGAGUGAGGAAUUUACUACUAGUAGCUUCAAUAGAAAGAAUAAAACUCGUUGUUUUUUUUUUAUGGAAGAAAUUUUGUUGUUGAAAUGGGGUUUAAUAAUAAAAAUUAGAUAAUGCAGUUUACACUGCACUGCUGAGUUUUAAUUAAGGGUAUUUAUGUCAUUGAUAGAGGUAUUAAAAGAACUUUAUAAUUUUUAAAAAUAUUUUGAUGGGGUUAAUAAACAAAAGGGGUGCUAAAAGAUACUUAGAGGGGUAGCAAUAGUCUCACUCUAAAUAUAAAGUAUGUAAACGAAAUAUAAAAUUUAUAAAUCAAGAUUAACUAUAAAAUAAAAUAUAAAUUUUUAAAAUAGAACAUAACCUUGUGAAUGAAAAUUAAACAUAUAAAUUAAUAUAAAGCUAGUAAAUUGAUGUAUUAAUGAUAAAGAAAACAAAAACCUUACAAAUAUAACGUAAAACUAGUAAAUCAACAUUGAUUAAAAAUUAAAACAUAAAUUUUGAAAAUAAAAUAUAAACUUGUAAAUAGAAGGUUAAAAAAAACUAAAUUAAUGGCAAACUAAUUAAUUUGAGGCUUCCCCAUUAAACAAAAUAAAAACUUACAAAUAUAACAUAAAACUAGUAAAUCAACAUUGAUUUUAAAAAUAAAACAUAAAUUUUAGAAAUAAAACAUAAGAGUUUUAAAUAAAAAGGUAAAAUAAAUAAGUUAAUACAAAACUGCUAAAUUGAUACAUUAUUGGUAAAUAAAAUAAAAACUUGUAAAUAUGACAUAAAACUAAUAAAUCACCAUUAAGGGCAAAAUGAUACAUAAAUUUUGAAAAUAGAAUAUAAGACUAGUAAAUAGAAGGUAAAAUAAGUAAACUGAUAUAAAAGUGGCAUGAAUAAAAACUUAUAAAUUUAAUAUAAAACUAGUAAAUCAACAUUGAAUGUAAAAAAAAAUAUAAACUUUGAAAAUGAAAUACAAGAUUUGUAAAUAAAAAAUAAAACAAGUAAAUCAAUAUAGAAGUGGUAAAUUGGUAUCUUACUAGUAAAUAAAACAAAAAAUUAUAAAUGUAAUAUAAAACUUAUAAAUCAAUAUUAAGUGUAAAAUUAAACAUAAAUUUUGUAGAUUAUACUUAAAAUAUACGAACAAAGGUAAAAUAAAUAAAAUAAUAUAAGAGUUACUGAAAAAAUUAAAAAAUACUUGCAAAUGAAAACUAAAUACUCAUUUAUAAUGUUAAUUACCUUAAAUGUUUCCUAAUUUUGUAUUUAAAUUGAAUAAUGUUGGUUUUGCGUUUAUAUAAUAUAUGUCAUGUUUCAUUAGAGAUGAAACUUAUUCUCAAAAUCGAAUUUUGGAAAAUUAUUAUUUUAAUAUUUUUUUAAAACUAUCGUAAGACGAGCUUAGUUUGCAUCUCUUUUACACUUUCUCAACAAUAGCCACAAAUGGCCUCCAAGUACAAUUAAGGAAUAAAAUUUGAAAAUACAUAAAAUAUGCAUAAAACUCAAAAUUAUGUAUGAUUUUAUUGAUAUAUCAUAUAUGUGUCUAGUAAUAUAAGAAUAUCUUUUUAUUUUAUUUUGGUUUGAUCCACAUCAAGAUAAAUAAUUUUGUUUAGUCAGCUUGUGUAAUAAAUAAAUACUAUUAUAGAAAAUGAUAAAAAGAAAUUUAUAAAUGUACUAGUACAAAUAUACAAUUUGUGGUUAAACUAAUUCAAUUAAUAGUCAUACCAUAGAAACUAUGGUAAUCUUUUUAAUAAUUAAUAGUUUGAAUUUCUUGUUUUACUUUCUAUUUACUAGUUUUAUUUGAAAACUUAUAAAAUUUAUAUUUAUCACAAUAUUCAUACUAUAAUUUUAAUCACGACAUUAUAAAAUUUUUCUAUUGUUGAUGCAGAAAUCUGGUUGAUAGAGUUGCGACUAAGUGUCCAUGCCAAUACUUAAAUUUGUUUGUUGGGAUAACAGCUUAGCGCUGCAACUUUUCUGGUCAAACAAUUAUCUUCAAUCACGAACUUGUUAAACUGGUUCACAUGCGCUCACAAUACUCAGUUAGAGGGCCACCAGAUGUUUUUCUAUUGAAAAGCCUCUGUUGCUCAAGUCAAUAAUCGGACCUUUUUUUAGAAAAACUUGUGUGACAAAUCACGUGGCUUAAUUACAACUACUUUAAAUUGGAAGGCUUAAUUUCAAUAAGAAAGAAAGAUAAAUGAGAAAAAAUUGUCGAUAGAAAGAAAGAGUAUCUGAGAAUCAAGCCAAAAGUUAUCCAACCCCCUCACCUUCGUUCUCCGAAGUUUUUAUAUCCAAUUGAAAUUAUCGGCCUCCUCUCUCCCAAUACCGUUACUGGGUCGGUUACAUAACCGUGGACGAGUGAGCAGUGCAAUUGCUCGUGAGUGGGCUUCGUGCCGGAAUUCUUUGGGGGAAACCCACGGGUUAACCUUUGACCAAGUUUUUUAUUUGACUUGAUUCUAGUCUCUCCUUGUGUGCCCUCGAGCUGAUUCUGUUCAUGUGACCAGCAGCCACAUGCCCCGUCGAAUGUAAUCUUCUUUGAGGAGCCAUUCUAGGUUCAGGGGAGCACAUUAUGCUCAUAUGUGCCUGAUCAUGACGAUUUUCACCCAAAACACCUAUUAUAUUGUAUUAUAUUAUAAUCUUUCUUCAUAAAAUGACAAAAAGAAUAAAUGUGACUUUAAAUAUAGUAUAUUUCGAAACCAGUCACUAGUACAGUUGUAUAUCAUUUCCCUUCCUCUUUUGUGUGGGUAGAGAUUCGAGUUUCUAAAAUGUACUGGUAAGAGUUGAUUUUAAAAGAGUAUGUUUUAAAAAUAAAUUUGACCAAUUCUAAUUUCUAAUCUUAUAUAUUCAUAUUGAACCGCAUAGAACUGAUCUAGGAAGUUUUAAAAUAUUUACAUUAUCAAAGUGUUGAUAAAAGAGACUUUGGUUGAUUUAAGUUAUCACAAAGCUGAUUUACGUAAAUUUUUAAUUUUUAAUUAUAAAUAUCAUCUAAUCAAUGAGAUCUCAAUAAUUUUUUUUUAUUUAAAAAAUAAGCUAACCUUUAAAAUUCUAAGUUUAAAUAUUUAGACUGUAAUAUCACAUUUGUAGUACAUUUAUAUCACCAUAGAGCUGAUCUAAAGAUUAUAAUAAAUUUUUAAUAGUAGCUAUCAAUAAAUAUAAGAGUUAUAAGUUUAGAUGUUUGGACUAUUUAAUUACAAAACUAAUGUAGGAGGUUUUAAGUCUAACACAAAAUUAAUCUAAAGAGUUAGCAUAGAUUUUUAUUUGUAAACAUUGAGUAGUUUAUGAAGUUCUAAUAGAUUUGCAACCGUAAAUUUCAACUAAUCUAACGAGAUUCAAAAAGAAUUUAUUUAAUCAAAAGUAAAAUUUAUUCAAUUUUUUAAGAAAAUAAUAAUAAUAGGUUUUCAGCCAAACAUGUCCUUCAUUUUGUUUUAUUAGCAUGUCCUUCAUUUUUAUUUUCCUCAUAAGCCCGAAAAGUGGAAGUAGAAAAUUAAUUUAAAAAAGAAAAUUUUUUAUUGGUUCACUUGCAUAAAUCUGACGUGUACUUCAAAUUAAUGACGUGACCGCCGGGUAAAAAUUAAAUAACUGCACGAAAAAUCACCGCUUAAAGAACCAUAAAUCUCCACCAUUUUCAACCUUUGUUUUUCCCAUUUUGCCCAUCUGCAUCUACUCGACCGCUUCUUCAAUUCCAUUUCACCAUCCUAAAGCCUUCAAUUUUACAAAAGCUUCAAACGCUUGGAGAAUAAAAAGCAACUGAACAAAAAUUUAGCAAAGUGUUUACAUCACCAUGGCUCUCAAUCUUCGCCAAAAACAAACUGGUACAUAUCUCUCUCUCUCUCGCUUUCAUUAGAUCUCUCUUUUAAUAAAACCCACUUUGUAUUAUUGAAUUGGAUUCGAUGUAUAAUUUCGUAUUAAGAAAAGAAAACCAUGUUAGAUUUUUUACUGAAUUCAUAUGUAUUGACUUAAUUCAGUGCAUUUUCUUUGGUGGGUUAAUUGUUUGCAUAGUGGUGUUAUUGAAUCUGAUCCGUAAAUUUGAUUCCUAUCCUAACAGAAUGCAUAACUCGAAUGCUGAAUCUAAACCAGCCUGUGAAUGCCACGGGGACAGCAAAUGAAGAGGUUUAUAAAAUCUUGAUCUAUGAUAGGUUUUGUCAGAAUAUUUUGUCACCCUUGAUCCAUGUUAAGGAUCUUCGAAAACAUGGGGUGACCCUUUAUUUCCUCAUUGAUAAAGAUCGUAAACCUGUUCACGACGUGCCUGCUGUGUACUUUGUUCAAGCAAGCCAGCAGAAUAUACAGAGAAUUAUAGCCGAUGCUUCUGCUUCGCUUUAUGAUAGUUUUCACUUGAACUUUUCAUCCUCAAUACCUCGUGCACUUCUUGAGGAUUUGGCAUCAGGGAUGUUGAAUUCGGAUUCGAUUCAGAGGAUCUCAAAGGUCCAUGAUCAGUAUUUGGAUUUUGUGACUUUAGAGGAUAAUUUGUUUUCGUUGGCACAGAAGAGUAGUUAUGUUCAAUUGAAUGAUCCAAAGGCAGGGGAUAGAGAGAUUGAGGAGAUUAUCGAGAGGAUUGUCAAUGGGUUGUUUUGUGUAUUGGCUACUCUUGGGGUGGUGCCAAUUAUAAGGUGUCCGCGCAGUGGUCCUGCAGAGAUGGUUGCUUCGGCGUUGGAUCAGAAGUUGAGGGAUCAUUUGUUGUCUAAGAACAACUUGUUUUCAGAAGGUGGGAAUUUUGCGAGCUCAUUUCAGCGUCCAAUUCUUUGUAUUUUCGAUAGGAAUUUUGAGCUUUCUGUUGGGAUACAGCAUGACUUUAGGUAUCGACCACUUGUGCAUGACGUGCUUGGAUUGAAGCUUAAUAGGUUGAGUGUGCAGGGAGAAAAGGGUGGUAUGAAGUCAUUUGAGUUAGAUAGUGCAGACCCAUUUUGGGUGGCAAAUGGGUGGUUGGAAUUUCCUGAAGUUGCAGUGGAGAUUGAGACCCAACUGAACAAGUAUAAAAAGGAUGUUGAGGAGGUGAAUAAAAGAACAGGAGGAAACGAUGGGGCUGAGUUUGAUGGGACUGACUUAAUUGGAAACACAAAGCAUUUGAUGAAUGCUGUGAACUCGCUACCUGAAUUGACUGAGAGGAAGCAGGUGAUUGAUAAGCACACAAACAUUGCAACUGUGCUGUUGGGUGAGAUAAAGGAAAGAUCUCUUGAUUCCUAUGCUAAAAAGGAAAAUGACAUGAUGAUCAGAGGAGGCAUUGAUCGAAGUGAACUAAUGGGUGUGCUUAAAGGGAAAGGCAGUAAGAUGGACAAAUUGCGGUUUGCAAUUAUAUAUCUGAUUUCUUCGGAAACCAUCAAUCAAUCAGAAGUGGAAGCAGUGGAAGCAGCUCUGAGGGAGUCUGAGGUUGAUAUUAGUGCAUUUCAGUAUGUGAAGAAGAUCAAGUCAUUGAAUGUCUCAUUGGCAUCAGCAAAUUCUGCAAGUAGAAAUAACAUAGUUGAUUGGGCCGAGAAACUAUAUGGGCAGUCAAUCAGUGCUGUGACAGCUGGUGUGAAGAAUUUAUUAUCUAAUGACAGGCAAUUGGCACUGACAAGGACAGUGGAAGCUUUGGUGGAGGGGAGGCCAAAUCCUGAAAUUGACUCGUACCUCAUGUUUGAUCCUCGUGCUCCCAAGUCAAGCUCCGGUAGCAACCAUCUGAAGGGACCAUUUAAAGAAGCUAUUGUGUUCAUGAUUGGUGGUGGCAACUACAUGGAAUAUGGCAGCUUGCAAGAGCUUGCGAAGCGUCAGCAGCCUGUGAAGCAUGUUAUAUACGGAACAACAGAAAUUCUCACAGGAGAUGAGUUUGUUGAGCAGCUUGCACUGUUGGGCCAGAAGAUGGGAUUGGGAAACACUGUUGCCCCAUCAACCCAUUAAAUACAGAUAUAUCAUAGAUGUUCUUUCUUGUAAGACUUUCAUUUGGUGAUUUUAUGCUUAUGAGGAGGCACACUGGGAAUUGAUGCCGAGGCAGGUUUUGGAGCUGAAUAUUUGUGAAGGAACGCUAUGGGGUUGGUGUGUGUGCUUGUUUAUUGGUUAUAUUGGCCCCUGAGUGUUUUAAGUGAGACUCAAAACAUACCGUUCUUUUGACAAUGUAGAAGAAUGUUUUUAGCUUAAUAGCAAUUAGGCAUCUUCUUUGAAGUAAGCUUCUGUUGUUGGAAUGUACCUGUUUCAUUUUGCACUGUAAUUGAAACCUUAACCUCAGAGAAUUAUUUUGUUAAUGCUAUCCACAUCAAUAUAUGAGUGUUGUUCAGUUUCACUUUCGCAUGGUAGUCGAUGUUGCUCUGCUGCUGCUGUGUUGCUUGGAAUUCGUAGGUAGUAAAAAGUUUAAUGAAUGCAUGGUCAUGGUGUGUUUUUGACUUUCUUAUACUUGGCUUUUCAACUUGUGAGCCGUGAUUGCUGGCAGGCCCGGCAUGAUGCAGAUGGUGCCUUUUUAGAUAUUUUACAAUUUCUUGCUGUUCUCAAAUAAAUGAAUAACAAUAAUAAUCCAAGUUUUUGUAAUAUGUAAUUAUGUAUCUGUCUCUUCAUAGAUUAAAAAACAUAAAUAAUAAUAAUAAUAAUAAUAAUAAUAAUAAUAAUAAUAAUAAUAAUAAUAAUAAUAAUAAUAGUCAAUGUUUUAAAAAUAACCUUCUAUUUUUCUAUUCUCUACACAUAAAGAACAGAAAAUACUUUUAUUAUUAUUAGUACUGGUUAGAUAAUAAAUUAAUAAAGAAAAUUUAUGUAUUAAAAUAUUAAAAAAUCAUCGGAAAGGCAUUUCUAUUUUCUCCCUAUCAAUCGAUUGAUUACCGGCGCGAUCACUCUCUUUCUUUCAUCUCUCUCUCUCUUCGUGGCAUACAAUUCCGUACACCAAGCAUGUCUCGCCGAUCCCUCCCUUUCCUGAAGUCCCUAAUCCAAACCCGAUCCGUAACCUACAUGCCCCGACCCGGCGACGGCUCUCCGAGAGCCGUGACCCUUAUCCCCGGCGACGGCAUCGGCCCGCUGGUGACCAACGCGGUAGAGCAAGUAAUGGAAGCGAUGCACGCGCCGAUCUACUUCGAGAAGUACGAAGUCCACGGCGACAUGAAGCGCGUGCCGCAACAAGUGUUGGACUCCAUAAGGAAGAACAAGGUCUGCUUGAAAGGCGGACUGAAAACUCCGGUCGGCGGCGGUGUCAGUUCGUUGAACGUUCAAUUGAGGAAAGAGCUUGACUUGUACGCUGCGCUGGUCAACUGCUUUAACUUGCCUGGGUUGCCGACACGUCAUCAAAAUGUUGAUAUUGUUGUGAUUAGGGAAAAUACAGAAGGUGAGUACUCAGGACUCGAGCACGAAGUCGUUCCCGGCGUUGUCGAGAGUCUUAAGGUAACUUGUAAUUUUAAUUUGUGUUCAUAGUGUUGAUCUUGUUUUAUUUUUUGUUUAUUAAUAUCAAUUAAUUUGAGGCUAUGUUCUUAAUUGUCAUAUACAAAAUUUAUCUAUCGUCCAUUCAUUUGUACUUAAGAGCUAGUGAUUAUGCUACCAAGUCGUUAGUCUGGUGGUUAAACACCCUUCGCCUGAUCUCAAAGGAAAGGAAUUUGUUAGCUAUUUUUGAGCUAUGCUCGAUGAUCCCACCAGCUAUUCUACAAUUGUUUUUAGACUCUCGAUAGACUCCUGAUAGCAAUGUCAAUGGAUAAAUAUAGUUUUUGUUUUUUAAAGCCAAAAAAAAAAAAAAAAAGCUUGUGAUUUCAUUCCACAACCACCAUAGCUCAUCAAUUCAAGACAUACCUUUAGUUUAGCUUGAGUCUAGUUUGAAUUGCUAGUCAUAUUUCUUGUGUUUGAUCAAAUUUGUUAGAGCUCUACUUUAGCUGGGAUAAUGAUAAUUGUAGUAAAUGGGAUUAGGGGGGAGACUUGGUUCAUUUUUUAUAUAUUUUAAUGCUUGUUUCUGUUUUUGCGCAGGUGAUAACAAAGUUCUGUUCAGAGCGCAUUGCAAAAUAUGCAUUUGAGUAUGCGUACUUAAACUACAGGAAAAAAGUAACUGCUGUGCACAAAGCAAACAUUAUGAAACUUGCGGAUGGGUUAUUCUUGGAAUCUUGCCGGGAGGUUGCUACUAAAUAUCCCAGUAUCAAGUACAAUGAGAUUAUUGUUGACAAUUGCUGCAUGCAACUUGUUUCAAAGCCUGAACAAUUUGAUGUCAUGGUAUGCAGCUUUCAAAUACUGAUUUAGUUUAAAACAGCCGUGCAUGUUUUUCCCAUAGCUGUGCAUGUUUAUGCCAUUGCAUCGUACUUGAGUAUCUAUUUCUAGGUUGUAGGCAUACAUAAUUUUGCUUACUGCAUUAUUAUUUUGUUUUAUAUGAAAUUGUAGAUCUCGUAGUAUUUUUGGUUGAUGUCAAUGUGACUAGUAUUUAAUGUGUAUAAUUAAUUUUGGCAACUUUUGGUGUAGUGACCCAAAAAAAAAAAAAAAUCUUUCUAGAAAUUUUGGCAACGUCACUUUGGUUCUAUUGAAUUGUGCUUUGUACAUUGUGAAAUCGUGUACUUUACUAUGUUGGGCUGAAUGUUUGAGCAUUGUUUGAUAUAUUUCAUGUUGCUGAUGAAAGUGUAGAAUUAUUGGCUAAGUUUUAUAUAGGGAGAUCUUAGAUCUCACUACAUUGGUUUUCAAUGUGAUUCCAGUUUCUGUCUGGUUCAUGAUUUUUUGUAAAUUCGGUACCAACUUUAUUAGCUUUCCCUCCUUGCUUAUGGAGCUUUCUUAAUGUUCUGUAGGUCACCCCUAAUCUGUACGGCAAUCUAGUCUCAAAUACAGCAGCUGGUAUUGCUGGAGGCACUGGUGUCAUGCCUGGAGGUAAAAAUCUCUGGUUUUCAGGUUUUAUUUCUUUUGAUGAGUUCUGAUAUUAAAAUAUAAUGAUGGUUAUAUGCUUAAGAAGGGAUGGUAAGGUUAAUUUAUGGUGUACUGCAUUGAAUGUUCUGGAAUUUUUUUUUCGUUGGUUAUGGGUGAAUUAAGUCUUAUCAAAAUUUCAAUGGCUUAACAGGUAAUGUGGGAGCUGAUACUGCUGUUUUUGAGCAAGGUGCAUCAGCAGGAAAUGUGGGAAAUGAGAAAGUAGUUGAACAAAAGAAAGCAAAUCCAGUGGCUUUGCUUCUUUCAUCAGCCAUGAUGCUAAGACAUUUGCAGUUCCCUUCAUUUGCUGAUCGACUAGAGACUGCAGUGAAACGCGUAAUAUCAGAGGAAAAGUACAGAACCAAAGAUCUCGGUGGAGGCUGCACCACUCAACAGAUUGUCGAUGCAGUCAUUGCUAAUCUGGAUUGAUUUGAUUCACUUGUAGCAUUCCUGUCAUAGUUCUGGCACGUGGACUUCAUUUGAGUUUCUCAUUCCUUACUCUUCGCCAUUUUUACAUGUUCUGAUUUUCUUGAAGCUUUUGGAAUCUCGUUUUUUGGCUAUCCGGCUGUGUUGCUUUUCCAUAGCGUUUAUCAUUUUUCAAAAAUUAUUUGAGUUUAUAGUCGUUAUUGACAAAUGAAUUGAUAAACAAAAAGUCUCCAAUUGUAAUGGUCAAAAUUCUUGGAUCUCUUUUUAGUCUUGGGGUCGGUUUGGAAAUAUUGUAAUUUUUAAAAUAAUUGCUGUUAACUGUGUUGUAAAAAUAAUCAGCUGCGAAGAGAAUCAAUUGAGUGUUUUUUAAAUUUUAUUUUUAAAAGUAUUGUGAGUUUUGAAAACAGUUAUGGACAUUUGGUAAAUUUUACUGUUAAAUUAUUGAGAGAAAAUAAAUGACUAAAAUGUACAUAAUGUAAGAUAAAAUUUAUUUAUAUAUAUAAAAACAUAUACAUAUAUUUUUAAUUGUGUAUUAUAAUAAUUUUUUCUAAAAAUAAAAUUUAUAAUAUAUUGAUUUUAUAUUUUUAUUUUUAAAAUAAUUGAUAAUUAAAUUAAUAAUAUAGUGAAAUAAAUUUAAUAAUAAUUUGAUCGAUAAAUUAAAAUUAAUAAAUUUAUAUUGAUGAAUUAUAAUAAAAAUUUAUUAAAACAUUGAUUUUGUUUCUAAUUUGAAUAAGGAUUAUUUUGGGUUUAGGUAAUAAUUUUAACGAUAUUUAAGGAAUUAUAUUAAAAGAUAAAAUUGAUUCUUAAAAUUAGAAUCUAAAAAUUACUUAUUUUCUUCUUUUUAAAAUCAGCUUUAGCAGGGGUUGAUUUUAACAAAAGUAAUUUUAAUUUUUUUUAUCAAAUACUAAAAUUAACUUUUAAAUUUUACAUAUCAAUUUUAAAUCUCCCAAAAACAAUCUCAAACAGGCCAUACACUCAUCUUUUUCAAACACAAGUGCAGGGCUUGGAUUUUUCAUCGACGUCAGGAUGAGAUGAGACCAAUUUUAUGUACAAUAUGCGUUUUUUAAAGAGUAAAACUACUUUAUAAAUUAUAAUGUAACACCCGUUACAAGUUUUCAAGUUUUACAUUCUUACAUGUUUGUGUCUAAAUAUAAAAUGGGUAUAUUAUGAAACUUAAGGAGUGUAUCGAUAAAUUUAUGACCAUUGUAAAUUUGUAAUACUGAUGCACGACGGUUUUAGUCAUCACUUCGUAAAAGAAGUAAUAUUGCGGUGGUGGGUGUUGCCGUUAAUUUCUUUCUUGUUAAUUAUGGAAUUAAAUAAUGGGACGAUAUAAAAAAUGAGAUAGAGAAUUUACAUGGUUCAUCAUGCGGCCUACAUCCACUCAUAUAGAAAAAAAGUAAUUUUUCAUUAUCGAAAAAAAAUUAUAAUGAAUAUUAAUUUUUUUUUUUUAAGUCCUUUGCUCAUAUCUCUAUAAACAUCAAGAGUUCUUUAUUUAUAAUACAAUCUAAGUAUCUUCAGUCUUUGAUAACUUCUUAGUAUGAUCAUCUGUAUCACUUAAUUUAAAGUUUUAUUUGAUGUCAAUGUCAAUCUUUAUCAGGAAUCAACAUUUAUCUCCAGCAUUUAUCUCAUUCAGGAGCUUUUAGGGUCCGUUUGGUACAACUUCUUGAGUAAAAGUUUUAGAAGUAGAGCUGUUGCAAUUAGAGAUUUUAUAAAUAAAGCUUUUGAUAAAAAGUUGUUGGGUGUUAGUUGUCAAUUAAAAAAGUUCUUUUGAGCCACUAGAUUGUUUGGUUCCACAAUAUUAAAAGUGUUUUUGUGGAGUCAAAUUACCAAAAAAGGAUAAGAGAACUUACUUUUAAAUUAUAAAUUUAGACAAAUCAUGAUAUUUCUUAUCUAAUAUCCCCACUUUACAUAAAAAUUUAAAAUAAACUUCAAUUAAAAUUUAAAUAAACCCCAUAAUUCAAACAUGAGGUAAUAAACUUUAUCAGUAAGCACCAAAACUAUCAAUUAAAAAGUUUAAAAUAAACUUUAAAAAUCAAAACAAAUCUUUACGAACAAUGAAAAUGUUAACGGUACAUAAGAAUAGUGGCAAUUUGAUCACGUUCUUAGCCCAUAAUACAUAUACUGAUUUGUGUGGACCACAUGACCAUGUGAAUACAUUAAACAAUAGUAAAAUAAAUUAAUAAACCUUAAAAGUAAUUGAAAAGUGGUUGUAAAGUGAAGAGAAUGAACAAUUUAGAUAAACAUAGCUAUAAAGAAAGCAUGAGAAAAAUCGUGCCUGCUGCUGCUUGCCAAAAAAUGGCGGCAAGUGGAGAAAUAUUUGUUGUGUAGGAUUUUGUAUAUACACUAUGACUUUUUGGAAUUAAAGAAAUAUUGUUAGGGUAUUUUUGGAAUUCUAUAUGUUUUACAAAAGCUCAAAAAGAUCUAUUUGUAGAAGUCCAAAUUUUGAGCUUCUCUAAGUAGAAGCAAAAUGGUCUUUUUAAAUCCCAAAAACUCUACUAAAAAUGCAACCAAAUAAUUCAAUAUUUUUUCAAUGAGUGACGCUAUUGGCACCCCUCUAUAUUUCUUAUGAAACUCCUCUUGUUCUUUAUUUACAAAUUUACCCUUUAUAUUUAAAUUAUAUAAAAAAAAAACUUAUCUAAUUAAACCCACCUAUGUUUUCUUAUUUUUUUCUCCAUUAUAAACUCAUUAAAUCUAUAAAUUUUGAAAAACAAUGAAUUGUCAUAGAAUAAGAAUUUAAUCUAAAUAUAAACAAAGUUUUUGUAGGAGAUAUAAUUUUGUGAAAUUUGUUUACUUAAGCCAAUUUUUUGUUUUAAAGAUUCGCACACAUGUCUUUAUGUAUAUACCAAAGAUAUUACCUACUAGGAAAAACAAAGACAAAUAGAUAUAAAAAUCAUAAAUUCAUGAAUGCUAUAAUCAAGAAGAGAUUAAAAGUGGUUUGGAAUAGGAGAAUGGUGAGAGAGAGCACCUAACAAUUUUUUUUUUUUUAAGUAUCGAUGCAGGGGUUUAUUAAGAAAGUAUAACAAAUGAGGGUUAUUUUAGGAAUUAAGAAGAGUAUGUAGAGAAAAAUGAUUUAAAAAGAAUGUUAGAGGUGUGUCAAUAGUCCAACUCUUUUUUCAAUAUUUUUAGGGUUUGAAAAAGCUCGUUUGGCUAGUAAUGGCUAGUAAAGAAGCCCAACCAAACAUACACAUAGACUCUUCUAUUGGGUUUAGAGAGCACUUCUAAUUAUUGGAUCCUAAAUGUUAGAUGCAACAACUGGGCUUAUUUAAUUAUACUCUCAUAUAAUUGCGCUCUCGUACAAUCGUGCUUAUUUGAUUCAUGUUCUCAUCGUGUUUAUUUGACUUAUUAAGUGCUAUCACGAUAUAGCUAAUAGUUAUGCUCUCACGCCGUUGUACUUAAUUGACUUAUUAGCUUUGCUUUCAUUCUUUCAUGUUCUCAUUCUUUCCUACUCUUAUGUACGAAGCUGUACUUAAUUGACUUAUUAAGAUUUCUACUGAGUUUACAUGUAACGCCCCAAAUUUAAUUGGGUUUUCAUGGAUAUUUUUCUUAUUGUAAUUAGAAUUUGAUUUGGUUUUAUUGUGCCAAGCCAUGAUUAUCACUCUUAAGUUAGCAAAAAAAAAAACAAACAAACAAAAGGAAAGUUAGGUCAAUAAUAUUUGAUACAUAUGUAUUCACAAGUUCCAAAAUCACCAUUCUUUUGGGUUCUUAGUAGUCAAGGCAAUGAAAGGAAAACAAAACAAAUGCUUGAAGAGGGAUAAGAGCAAAAGGGCUUGAGAAAGGGGGGGAAAAAGACCGAGAGAAGAAGUAAAAAAAGAAAAAGAAAGAAAAGGUUUUAAAAAAGGAGGAGGCAAUCGAUGAUGUCCUUUUUGGUAUGUAAGAGUUUCAUCUUCGAGUAUCUUGGACAUAAAUUUGAUGUUGGUAAAUAUUUUUACUCUCUUCGCUCAUGUUUUACAAGUUUUACUAAUUUUUACUGUUAUGGAUGAUGGUUUUUGUUGAUUAAGAAUGGCUUAAAGAAGAGAGAGGCUGUAAAUUGAUGAGUUUUUUUUAUGAUCAGUACUGAUUUUAGACAAAGAAUCGUGUGUCCUCAAUUAUUUUUAUCAUGAAUAAUAUACAUCUCAAGCUUUCUAUUGAAUUAUCAUGUGUUUCAAAAUUCUAAAUAUUGAAUUUAUCAUGAAUUUUUGAGUUUGGUACACUUUUCCUGGAAAAUUAUACUUUUCUUAAGUAGUUCCAAUUUGGAUAAUUUUUUGUUAGUAAUGGGCCAUUUGAAAUUUAUGAAACUAUUAUUAUGCAUUUAUUUAUUAUACGUUUAAUUUUAGAAUUUAAUAUGAGGUAAAUUAAUUAUGGAAAUUCAGUUAGUAUGGCUACUGCGAUUUAUGAAUAGUUUUUCUAGAAUUGAUAGGUCUAAAGUACGAUAUGUUUAAGCAUGUUUUUUUAUACUUAAAAUCAAGUGAAAUUUUUAUCAAAGGUUCCUUUGCAUGUCUAAUAUGUGCACAUUUAAUUUUAUGAUUUUUGGGCUCGUAUAAUAAAUGUUGUAGAUUUUGAAAUUGGCCUUAUGCAAUCUUGAAAAUUGUUUUUUAGAAUUGAAGUAUCACAUUAUGAAUCAGUCUUUAUUAUGUUUGGAAUUAUAAAUGUUCAUGAAAUUUUUAUCAAAGGUGACCACAAGUUUGAAAAUUUUUGAAUAAAUUUUUUAUACAUGAAAUGAAAAUUUAUUUUAAGCAUUUUUUUUUGUGAGAUAAGUCUCAUAUUUCGAUCUCUGAAUGUCUAUUAUGUUUCCUGACAUAAAUUAAAAUGGCAUAAUUUUUAGAGCUAUAUGUAAUAAUGUAAAUAGUAAUAAAAUUUCAAAUUGUUGCCAUGUAGUAUUAAAUAUUGAAAAGACAGUUUUGUUCAUCUUGAAAUAAAGUGAUUUUUUAAUAAAUUUAUGACACUUUCAAUUAUGAGGUGUUCGUGUGAAAUCCUACAUGUUUGAACAGAAUCUUUGCAAGGUCUUAGAUUUCUUGUAGUGACAUAUUAUUGGAUUAAUUUCAGAAUGUAUAGGGUGAUUGAAAUUUUAAUCAUUUAGUUAGUUUGGUAUUUUCAUAUCUAAGAAAGUUGAGAUAUUGAGAAACACUGAUAAGUUAGGAAUUGAUAAUGAUAAUGAUAUAAAUAUUAUUUCGAUGAUUAUAGGAGGCGGGUGAGCUCAUGUUAUGAUUGAAGUGUUUAUUGCUUUUUACAGAUUGAGAUAAGUGAAUUCAUGUAUAAUAUUUAUUAUAUACAUAUAUGUAAAUAUGUAUGAAAAGAAUAAUGUUGUUCAUACGGAUUGGAAUUACAUAUCGGUAAAAAGUUUAAUGAAAAUGUUUUCUUAAAUUUUUUUAAAAAUGACUUUAAAAUAUUUUCUUCCAUAAAUUGUUUUCCUUAAAAAUAUUUAUAAAAUUUUACCAAUUAAAUAUCUUGUAAGAGCAUUUUAUUAAUCUAUAUUAACUAAUUGAUAUUGAAAGAUUGAAAAUUGUAUUUAAGGUUUUGGUUCAUUGUCUGUAACUAUCGAUGCAGAUAUGACUGAACAGUUAGCUGUAUUGUGUGCACUUACUAACAUAUAUUGCAGGCUAUAAUACCCUGAUUGAAUAAUUGGCCAGAUCAUUGGGAUUACAUAUGAUAAUUUUUUUGCCAGGUUACCAGGAUUACAAGUGAUAUAUUGACUAGUGAGGCUACCGAAAGUACAGGUGAUACUAUGUGACAUGAGUAAUUAUUUUAAACAAAAUGAUUUAUCGAACAAAUUUUUAUAUGAUCAAAUGAUUUUUGGCUAGCAAUUGAAUGAAUGAAAGAUUUUACUAUUAAAUGAUUGUAUAUUGAUAAGGGAUUAUGUUAUGACUUAAGUUUUAUCGAAUUUAUGCAAUAUAUAGUAAAAUAGUUAUUGUUUUCUAAUUUUAUGGUUCUUUAUAAUGAUUAUUAUGUAAUUGUUUGUCUAUAUGUUUAUUUGUUUAAAUGAUUAAUGUAGGUGUUCAAUAUGAUAUCGUAUUAAUUUGUACUUGAUAGAUUAUUCCAAAUUGCUAAAAUAUUUUAAGGUCCGAAAAACCUUAAAUGCUCAUUGUUUAAAGUUCCAAGUCCUUCAAUAAAUAGUUAUGAUAUAAUAGAUAGAUAUAAGAUACUGUUAUGCAUUAGUUUACUUACCGAGUUGAUAACUCACCCCUCGUCUUUAACAUUUUGUUGAUUGAGUUUAUAGAUGGAUGUUUUCGUUGGAGACUUCGAUAUGUUGUUGUGCUAGGCUUUUUGAAUGAGUGAAAUUCCAUGUAGUCAUAAGUGAAAAUUUUCUGAAGUUUUGUCAUGGGUCGAAUGUCAGGGUCAAAUUAUGCUUUUUGUUAUUUAUUACUUUUGAGGUUUGAGCAUGAUUGCAUGGAAUGUUUUGUAACAUCUCGAUUCCCAAUGGCCUCGAGGAGCUAGCGUGUUACAUUGCAUGCUUUCAUGGUCUCAUACUCAUAUGUUCUCAUGCUCGCAUUAUUUGACUUGUCACAUUUCUCCUCACAACAAUGGGAAAAAGAAAAGUUUCAAGAAACAAGCUCACUCAAGAUUCUAAUUUCUAACAAUAUAAAAACACUUAUCCAACAAAAAAAAAAAAAAACAACUUUUGAAUUGCCAAAAAAAAAGCACUUUAAAUCUUUCAUUCAACUAUGCUACACAACCACAAUAAAUAUCAAAUAUGAUUGGAUAAGAUUGAAAUAUUUUAUGUCAAUUUAACAAAUUAUUAAAAACUGGCUUGCCAGAAGUGUGUAUGUGUGUACGUAUGUGUGCGCGUGCGUGUAGCAUUUCUAUAGUGAGGCCCACUUAACAAAGUGAGGAUACUAUUAAAAUACAAAAUAUAUGUAUAUAUAUACAUUUGAAUACAUAGGAGACCAUAUUUUUUUGUUUGUUGAUGACUUCCUCAUUUUAAUAGUAAGAAUAACAAUAAUGAUGAUAUUAUUAUUAUUAUUAUUAUAAUAAUAAUAAUAUCCGACACAUCUAUGAUUAUGCAUUGAUUGCUAUAAUAGAGAUACAGCCACUACAUAGAUGUUAGCUAGUCGCACAUUAAUGCAAGUACUAAAGUAGUUUAAAAGUGUCUAUUGGUAGAUUGAAAUUUGCUACAGCAACUUAUCUAUAGGAAUAGUUUUCAUGCAGUUAUAAAAAAAUUUUAAUUUCAAUAUAUGUAAGUUAUAAGUAAGAAUAAAUUUUCCAUUCUAAUAGGUUAUAAUUUUUUUAGAUUCCGCCUUAACAAACUUGCCUUUAUAUAGUAAUAAUUAUUUGAAUAUUGUAAAAAAAAACGUUGUGUUACAUUAAGAUGGAAUAAUAUAUUUUUCUAAAAUUGUUUAGAACAAUGGUUUAUUCUUCAGAUUUUUAAGAUUAUUUUGUAUAUUCCCGACAUUAAAUAAUUUUAUGCACUUUUUUUUUGAAGCUAUGUCUAUAUAUUUUAUUAAUAUUUAUAUACAUUGGAUUUGACAUGUAUGGUGACUAUCAAUCACAUCUAAUAACUCAAUCAAACAUAUAAUAUACAUGCACGUAAUCAUGACAUGAUAUCAAAUCAUAUUACCAAACAUAAAUGCUUCACGGAAUACAUAAUAGUAAUAAUAAUAUCCACUCAUAGAUCCUAUUUCACAUUGAGUUUAUUGGGGCUCUUGUGGGUUCUUCGAUUAUCGAGUUCCUCCUAAAAUACAAAAUUCAAAAAUUAACUAUUAAAACUGAUAUAAAAAAUUAUACAUAUCAUGUAAAUUGUAAUAUAAUUGCUCAGACUUCAUAAAUAUAUUACCUACUAAUUUAUUAUAUAUUAAUCUAACUGUCCAAUACUAUUUUCUGAAUUUUUCCUUUUAAUUUCUCUUUUUAACUUAUUUCUCUCUCUCGGUCUCCUAAUUCUUCUUCCCUUCUUUUUUUUUUUCAUUUUCCUUUCUUGUUCUCUUUUCCCCACUCUCGGGCCUCGGCUUCUCCAUCUUUUUUUUUUUUUUCUUUCUCUUCUCUGUUCUCCACUUUCUUAUUUCUCUUCCAUUUCCUUUAUUUGCUCUCGGUGCUCAAACUGAUAAAACGAGACAGCUGUCAAAAUUUGUAUGUAAACAUUAACACCGCCCCAAGCAAGCAAGUGGAACGUGCAUGUGGCAAGCAAGAGGUGAAGCCGGCAUGCGGAGAAGUGGUGAAGCAGGCAGCUCAUAUUGCAUGCAACAGAUAGUUGGCCAUUUAAUUUACUAAGCACGCGUGGCUUCUCUUUCCUUUUUUUCUUAUUUUUUCAAGCGGUGCGUGACACUCGUGCUCAUAGGUUCAUAGCUAGCUAGGAGUCAAUUCUGUUCUCCCCCUUCCAUUUUAUGUAUUCCAAAUUUUUUGUCACAAGUCCUAGUGUCAUAACAAUAUGAUUGAACCAACAAAGUGUUGGCUCCACUAGUAAUGGAGUCCCCUUAAGUGACUUGACUGGAUUUACUCCCCAGUUCGAGUCGCAGGAAAGUCGUUUUUGUUGGGAAAACUUGUACCUCCCAGUUCGAGCGGAGACUUCUAGUCUAAGUUGUGGUACGAACUUAAAGGUACCUCCCACAGUUGAGACCCUCGCCAAAAUACCUCGUGGUUAAGACAAAAAAAAAAAAAAAAACAAUAUGAUUGACAAACCCAUGCCACGCCUCAUCAUCCUCAGCAGCCCACAAGAAGGUAUACUGGAAUAAAACGUCAUUUUUCUUUCGGUGACUUUACCAAGAAGAAACUACAAAUCUGAGGCAAUGCCACCUCAAACGCCUCAUCAUCCUCAGCAGCCCACAAGAAGGUAUACUGGAAUAAAACGUCAUUUUUCUUUCGGUGACUUUACCAAGAAGAAACUACAAAUCUGAGGCAAUGCCACCUCAAACUCCACCCAGGCAACUUUUGUUCUCUUUACAUAUAAGCAGUUGCGGAAUACAAUGAAACUACAAAUUUGAGGAGGCUGGAAAAAAAAAAAUCUACAAAAUAAAGAGCCUAAACAUAAGUUCUAACAAUGCUAGAGAUUAAUGAUGGUGAUAUUUUUACUCCACAACCUUUGUAAACAUUGUCCGUUAUUAAGAAAUAAUUAUAAUAAUUUUACAUUAUUUUUAAAAAUACAAAUAAAGAAGAAGUUUGUAUAUUUAAUCAAAUAAAAUUACAUAUUUAAAAUCCUAAAUACAAGAGUUCAUAUUCUUUAGCGUAAUUUGUUCAUUUUAUAUUAUUAGAAUAAAACAAUCAAACAAAACUUUAUUUUAAAGCAAUCUCGAUAAAUAAAGAGAACUAAGUUUAAAAAUUAUAAGAAAGAUAUAAUUGAUUAAUUGUAAAAACUUUUUUGUUGACUUCUAUACAUUAAAUGUUUAGGGAAUGAAAUAGGGUGACCAAGAUAAAUGUGUUUGCUCAUACAUUAUCGUGCUCUCCUCAAAGUAAAAGUGAGCAAAUGGUUGAGUAGAUCAUCUCGACCAGGAUGUUGUUUGGUGACCUCGAGCACAUCACCUCGACCAAGAUGUUAUUUGUCACCUCGACCAGAAUAAUAUGUGGUGACCUCGAGCACAUCACCUCGACCAUAAUGUUAUGGGUCACCUCGACCAUAAUAAUAUGUGGUGACCUCGAGCACAUCACCUCGACCAGGAUGUUAUUGGUCGCCUCGACCAGGAUGUUAUUGGUCGCCUCGACUAGAAUAAUAUGUGGUGACCUCGAGCACAUCACCUCGACCAGGAUGUUAUGGGUCACCUCGACCAUAAUAAUAUGUAGUGACCUCGAGCACAAUAAUAUGUAGUGACCUCGAGCACAUCACCUCGACCAGGAUGUUAUUGGUCGCCUCGACCAGGAAGUUACCAGGAAGCACGAUUCAGUCAAAACAUUUUCUCCGAAAUAUUAGGGACCAUGUUCUUAGUGGGCUGAAAAUUAGUAGUUUUCUUGAGAAUUUUAGGGGAGAGGAUAAAAAUCGCUAUAGUUUCCUAUAAAAACCCUAGGAAGGGGAAAGAAAAGAUGAGGGGGGAUUCUCCUCUCUCUCUCUCUCUCUCUCUCUCUCUCUCUCUCUAGGCAAUUGAACCCAUUGGACCUUUUUCUCUCUCUACCACUAGGAAAUUUCUCUUUCGCUUAUGAUUUCUUUAAGAUUAAUUAUUCUCAAUUAUUUUCCUUUAAAUUUACUUAAAAGCUUUUUUGUUUAAAGCAAUCAUAAUUAAGCCACAUGAAUUGUGGUAUAGGUUUUUUCAAGUAAGACCCAAAUCGCUGACUUGAGCAUCGGAGAGUUCUCGCCGGAAAAACUUCCGGCGCCUCCUGACUGUUGGUUGUGCUCACAGGCUCACGGGUUAUUUGCUCAUGGAUCAUCUGCUCAUGGAUUGUCUGCUCAUGGGUUGUCUGCUCAUGGAUCAUCUGCUCAUAGAUUGUCUGCUCAUGGGUUGUCUGCUCAUGAAUCGUCUGCUCAUGGAUCGUUUGCUCAUGGAUCGUCUGCUCAUGAGUUGUCUGCUCAUGGAACAUCUGCUCAUAGAAAAUCUGCUCAUGGUGCUAACUAAUCAGCGGCUUCCCACCAAACAAAUUUAAUACUGAUGCGGGGAUAUGAGAUUUAACCAACUCAUCCGGAUUUCGGCAUCAACAUUAAAAACAAUGAAAACUUAUUAUAAUUAUUCUCUGAAAGUGAGAUGCAUUUACAAAAAUAGUGGGUUGAAAUUAUCCUCACCCAAAGUUCAAUUAGAAUCGUUCUCUUUUAUGGAAAUAUCCUCACCCACAGUUCAAUGCCAACAAGUAUUACUGGAGUAGAUUUUUCUAUGAUACAUCUCAAAUUGAGUUCUCCCUCACCAAGAUAGAUUUUUUUUUUCUUUUCUAGUAUUCAUCACCAUUGUGUAGAUCAAUACUUGUUCCACUAAAUUUCUCAUUUUAUUUAGAAAUAUCCCAUUAUAAUUUAAUAUUUUUAAAAUAAAAUAACUUAUUACUUCACUUAAUUUUAAAAAAAGAGAGAGAAAGAGAAUAUACACACUUAUUCCAAGUCCCCAACUCAUGCUGGCAGCCAUUAUUGAGAAGGAUCGAAAAGGUCACUUAUGGAUUGUAAAGUCUCAGGACUCCACUAAAGUCUCUGUUGCAAAACUUUACGUUAUCUAGAUAAGUCCCGCCCUUUCAGAAAUUCACCAUGUUCAAUGAACACAUUAUCCAAAUUUUUACGCAUUUCUAUACGAUUACAUUUGAAAUUAAGUACAGCAGUUUUUUUUUUUUUUUUUUUUUCAGCGCUUGAGUAAAGUCAGUCUUUCUCCCAGGCUGAGAGUUUGACGUCCCUCGAAUAUUUGAAAGGAUUACAAAUCUGAGCGGUGCCAUAUUAGCAUUAAUGUCAACAGGUCUCAGUAUAUAUAUAUGAUUGUACAUAUCAAUUAUACUCUCAUGUAAUAUGAGUUGUAAUUUGAGUAAUAGUCUCAUAUCAUCAAAAAAAAAAAAAAGUACAGCAGUUUUUUUUUUUUUUUUUUUAUUUGAGGGUCAUGUCAGUAGGAUUAGGAUAGGAUUAUUUUCCUUUUUACAAGUGAAAUAAUAAAUAAGUGUAACUGAUAUUACACCUCAACAUUUUGUUAUUAAAUGUUAAGAGUACAAGUGAAAUAAUCCAUCCACACUCAUAAAUAUUUAUAAUGUUGAAAUUUUAAAUCCAUGAAAAUUUGAACUCAUAUUACUACCACUCGACUCAAAUUUUACUUUUUAUGAAAGUUACAUAUGAAGAUGAGUAAUGAUACAUCCACAAAUUCUUGUACAAACUGAUGUGUCAUAAUAAAAUUAAUUGAAUUAAAUAUAUGUUGAUCCACAUAAUUUAUUUUUAUUAUUUUAUAUUUUCAUUCAAUCAAUAAAUUAAUACCACAUAAAUUCGUACAAAAAUUUGUGCCUCUAUCAUCACUCUAUGAAAAUAUUCCUUUUUUUUUUUUCCUUUCCUUUAUUUCCCCUAAAUCUAAGAGGAUGAUUUGAUAAUACCCAUUGUCCUUGAUAAGGUUCAAGCCCAGACAAAUAUUAACUGCAGGAAGACAAAAGGGAACAUCAAAACAGAUAUAAAAGGAAAUCUCAGGAUAGCAAACCCUGAUAAUAUAUUUGAUUUUUUUUCCUUUUACGGUAAUCUAAUGGACAGAAUGGUUUAACUCUGGUAAAUGGUUAACAAACAUCCAUAAAGUAUGCUAUGUAGGUGGAUAAAGAGAAAGAAGCAUCAAGCAAAUGCACUUGGUAGUUGUUAGCUGACAGCAAAAGGUGUAAUGGAGAAGAAACAAAUAGCCAUUGUCGGUGCUGGUGUCAGUGGUCUUCUUGCCUGUAAGUAUCUUCUGUCAAAAGGGUUUCAUCCUAUUGUUUUCGAAGCUCGAAGUGACAUUGGAGGAGCAUGGAUCAAAACUGUGGAGACUACAAUGCUACAAACUCCUAAACAACUGUAUCAGUUCUCAGAUUAUCCUUGGCCGGAUUCAGUCACUACAGAUUUUCCGGACCAUAAUCAGGUCUUGGAUUAUAUUCAAUCUUAUGCCAGUCACUUCGACUUGCGUAAGCACAUCAAAUUCAAUAGGAAGGUUGUUGGCAUUGAAUUUGAAGGCCUUUCUGGUGAAGAUGGGAAGUCAUGGAGCUUUUGGAAUGGCAAUGGUCAGCCCUUUGGCUCCCGAGGCAAAUGGACGGUUGCCGUAGAGGAUGCCAAGAACCACUCGACUGAGGUAUGUGCAAUUGGAGUGUGAAAAAAUGUGUCUAAUGUUUUGCUUAUGCCUUAUCUGUUGAUGCAAGGCAGGCAUAUUGGCUAGCCAGACACAUUUAGCCCUUGGAUAGUAUGGCCAUUUCUUGCAUCUUUCUAAUUUCAAGAUGUAAAUAAAAUAUGUGCAGGUUCAUCAAGUGGACUUUGUGAUUCUGUGUGUGGGGCGAUUCAGCGAUGUACCAAACAUUCCAGAGUUUCCUCCAAAGAAAGGACCAGAAGCAUUUCAUGGGAAGGUGAUACACUCCAUGGACUACAGCGACAUGGAUUACGAAGCCGCUGCCAACCUUGUCAAAGGGAAGAGAGUUACAGUUGUUGGGCUUCAGAAAUCCGCAUUGGACAUUGCAAUGGAGUGCACAACAGCGAAUGGUAGUUAAGAGAAGCCAAUUAGAUAAUCAUCUCUAUUUGCUCCAACUUAUUGAAUAAAUCUUUUGUUCUCUUUUUCAUUUGAUUACAGGUUUGGAAAAUCCAUGCACAGUCUUAUACAGGACGGAGCACUGGAACAUCCCCGAUUACUUUCCCUGGGGGUUUCCUCUAGCGUAUUUAUACCUGAACCGUUUCGCUGAGCUAUUGGUUCAUAAGCCUGGAGAAGGUUUCCUGCUAAGUCUCUUGGCAACAAUGCUUUCGCCGCUGGUAAUGUUUAUUCUAUUCAUUUUUUGACAUUUCAAGUGGGAAAACGAAUACUCUCCUAGAGGACUAAUUUGCUUUGUAUUCAAGUAACAGAGAUGGGCAAUUUCAAAAUUUGUUGAAGCUGAUAUUAAGAAGAAGCAUCGUUUGGCAAAGUUUGGGAUGGUGCCGAAACAUAGUUUCCUGCAAGAACUCAGUUCAUGUUUGACCAUAACAGUCCCGGAAAAGUUCUAUGACAAAGUUGAAGAGGGCAGCAUCAUUUUGAAGAAAUCUCAAGACUUCAGUUUCUGUGAAGACGGCAUAGUGGUUGACGGUCAAACUACACCUCUGAAGGCAGAUUUGGUCAUAUUGGCUACGGGCUUCAAGGGUGAUGUGAAGCUCAAAAACAUAUUUCUGUCCCAAACAUUUCAAGAUUACUUAGCAGGCUCCCCUACCGAAAAACUUCCACUCUACAGGUCAGCACAUAUUUAUAUAGAUACACACACAUAUCAAGAAUAAAGAAUUUAUGAACUACAAAUUCCUUUUUGCUGAAGAGAACUAGAAUUGUUGGUUCAUUGCUAGGUAACUUUUAAUAUUGUUUUGCACUUGAUCAGGGAAAUCAUUCAUCCCCAGAUUCCUCAACUAGCAAUAAUUGGAUUCUCAGAAAGUAUAUCAAACUUGUACACCUCAGAGAUGAGAUGUCGGUGGCUAGCUGAGCUUCUCGAUGGGGCGGUCAAACUACCUAGCAUAAAGGAGAUGGAGGAAGACAUGAGAAAAUGGGAUGAAUACAUGAAGCGAUACUCCGGCAAGUACUACCGGAGAUCAUGCAUUGGUGCCCUUCACAUUUGGUACAAUGAUCAAUUGUGCAAGGAUAUGGGAUGGAACCCCAAGAGAAAGAAGGGAUGGUUUGCUGAAUUGUUUGAGCCUUACGGACCAGUGGAUUAUGCUCCACCUUCAACAAGCAAUUAACUCCACUGAAGCUCUUUUAAAUUGUGUUUUUCAUCUCUAUUUUCCUGUACGUUGUGUUGUUUAAUUUCUUUCUAUCACAAUUCUAAGUAGUAGUGCUUCCAUCAUUUUAUAUUGUGAUGGAGAAUUGCUACAUGUACAAUAAUGGCAGCAAAAAUCCAAAAAAAAAAAAGCAUUGUACUGUUUAUUGCGUUCUUCAGUGCAGAUAUAGUUCUCACAAAUGCUUAACAAAUUAUCCUUUCUGUUAGCAAAUUGGCAAGCCAGAUAAACAAUUACUUAUCCACAUGCAUAUGCUGAUAUGUCGUCCACACUUUACACAACUCGUUGACAGUCGUUUUCGUAUAAACAAGAAUAUCGCGGAAAAAAAAAAAAAACCACACACACACACAUUAUUAGCUAAGGACUAAAAUGAGUAUAGUUCCUCAAAUAUCUGUCUGGGACAGAUAAGGGCACAUGGUCCUGAACUCUAUGUCCAUUUCAAAAACAGAUACUAAGCUGCAAUGGAGAAGAAGCAAAUAGCUAUUAUUGGAGCUGCAAUCAGUGGCCUUAUUGCAUGCAAAAACACUUUUUCAAAAGGGUUUCAUCCAAUUGUUUCUGAACCACAAUGCAGCAUUGAGGAGUAUGGACCAAAAUUUUAGAGUCUAAAAAGCUACAAACACCAAGACCAAUAUAUCAAUUCUCAGAUUUUCCUUGGCCAUCUUCGGUCACUGAAGAAUUUCCAAGCCAGAAUCAAGUUUUGGGUUUAUGUUCAAUCUUAUGCUUGCCAUUUUGACUUGUUUAAGCAGAUUGAGUACAAUAUCAAAGUUGUUGGAAUUGAAUUUGAAGGCCAUUCUGAUGAAGAGAUGCGGUCAUCUAAGCUAUGAAAUGGCAAUGGCAUGCCCUUUAGCUCUCAAGGGAAAUGAAAGGUUGUGAUAGAGGAUUUAAAGAACCAUUCAACAGAGGUAUUUCUAUCUCCCAUAUCAUUUAUAUUUCCCAUUUAAAUGUAAUGUCUUCAAGGUACACAUUAAAGAAACUUGUAGACGUUUAUAAUCUUAAAAAGAUAUGAAACUAUCGAAAUCAAUUGUAUAUAAUAUUGUGGGGGUACAAUCGAACUUUGAUACUAUUGCAGAAGAAUCUAUAUGAAGGUUAUGUUUUACACCAGCGUCAAAUUUUUAACAACACAUUGUUUUACAACAAUGAAAAACUUCUAUGAGAUGUCGUUUAGAAUCUCAUCUUCUUAAACGAUUGGUUGUCCAUGGUUUAUGCCAUUGUAAAAAUUUUAACUGAAUUACUUCUUGCGGUGAUAUUAUCAUAAACAGAAAGAUGAUUUUUAACAAAGCAAAAGCAAGUGAUAUUCAAAUGGCAGUGUACUAACUAGUUCAUUCAUGGCCUAGCAGAAAGAUGCAGUUUUACAAAAUGGACAUUGUAAUUCUCCGUCUGGGGAGAUUCAGUGAUGUUCCAAACGUCCCAGAAUUUCCUCCAAGCAAGGGUCCAGAAGAAUUUAAAGGAAAAGUGAUUCAUUCAAUGGACUAUGCUGUCAUGGAUUAUGAAAGUGUUGCCACGUUUGUCAAAGGGUAACAAGUCAUUGCUGUUGGGUUUCAGAAAUCUGCAUUGGAUAUUGCAAUGGAAUGCUCAGCAGCAAAUGGUAAAACAGGACGAUCUAGCUCAAAGCAUUAACAUAACAGAAAUGGUUUAUUUUCCAAUUCAAAGAAUUGAUCUCCAUUUUGAUUUGAUUCCAGGGAUGAAGAAACCAUGUACAGUUUUAAACAAAAAUGAACGCUAGAAUGUACCCAAUUACCUACCCCGCAGAGUGCCUUAAGCAUAUCUUUAACUGAACAGAUUCUCACAGCUUUUGCUUCAUAAGCUUGGAUGAGAAAUCCUACCAAGUCUCUCGGCAAUAAUCCUUUCUCCAUUGGUAGCAUUUUUUCUUAAUCCACUGGUAGCUAAAUUCAAAUUCUUUCUUUUACUUAUGCGGUCUAAUGUACUAACUAAAGCACCUAACUGCAGAGAUGGAUGUUCUCAACAUUUGUCCAAAAUCACAUUAAGAAGAAACAUAAGUUGGCAAGGUUCGGGAUGGUACCAAAUCACAGUUUCCUACAAGAAACCAGGCCGUGUUUGACCUAAACAAUGCCGGAAAGGUUUUAUGACAAAGUUGAAGAGGGCAGCAUCAUUUUGGAGAAGCUCAAGGCUUCAGCUUUUGUGAUAAGGGUAUUUUGAUUAAUGGUGUGUUUGACGCUCCUCUGAAGACAGAUUUGGUCAUACUGGCAAUAGGUUUUAGGGUUGACUUAAAAAUCAAAAACACUUUUAAGUAAAUUUUUUUUCAGAAUUACAUGGCAGGAUCCCCUAUUCAAACACUAACACUUCCACUCUACAGGUUAGCAGCAUAUCAUCAAAAAAUACGAAUUGUUGAUUUCAAGCUUCCUUGUAUUAACAUCAAUUUAUUUCAGCAACAAUCUAGGAUUCCAUAAUCAUAAUGUUUUUCAUAUUUGAAUUCAGGGAAGUUGUCCAUCCCCAAAUUCCUCAACCAGCUGUAACUGGAUAUUCAGAAGGUCUUUCAAACUUGUUUACCUCAGAGAUGAGAUGCCGGUGGCUAGCAGAGCUUCUCGAAAGAACAUUCAAACUUCCUGCCAAUAUAUAUAUACAUACAUACAUAUAUAUAUGAAGAUAUGGGAUGAAUACAUGAACUAAUAUUCCGGCAAAUACUACAGGAGAUCAUGCAUGGCCAGUCUUCACAUUUGGUACAAUGAUCAAUUAUGCAAAGACAUCGGAGUGAACCCAAAGAGAUAGAUGGGAUUAUUUGCUGAACUGUUAGAGCCUUAACGGGUUAUGUUCCAUCUGCCACAAAUUUCAUUUUCGCGUUUAUAUUGUGGAAUGUGAUCACUCUCCUAAUUUGAAGCAUUUCCCUUUCAACAAUCCUAAUUUGAAGCAUCUCUUUUAUAUGCCUUUCAUUAAUUGGGUUGUAAAAAUAAUGUUAACAGAUAUAAUUAAAUUCACACACAUAGCAAUAAUAUUAUUGUAUCCCAACUCACUAGGCAUAAGAUUAUUGUUUAUCAUUACAAAUAAGAUGAUUACUUUUUUUAAAAGUUUCAUUGCACUCCACCCCUAAAUUAAACGUAACCCACGAGCCCCCUACAGGCUACAACUGUUGAGCCAAUUGUGCAAUCGUUAAGGGAUAAAUAAAACAACCAUCGAUAAAUAGCUUUAAGUUAUGAAAGGAGAAUGUAGAAAGAUCAACAUAGAAAUGUAAUAAGCAGAACUAACAUAUAUGUGAUUAAAAAACUAUUAGCUAACAUAAGUCAAUAAACCUAACAUGUGGUUUCAAGUUUUGUACAGAAAUCUAUGACUACUAUGAAUUGAAUAUUGAAAAUUAUAUGAUUAGGCACCAAAAAGAAAUCAUCCAGUGCCGCAAAUUAUGAUUGGAAUGUCUCUCAGAGAUUAGGCCUUUCCAAAUUGUUGUGAUAUGAACUUCUGGAGAAAUUCUAGAAUAUAUCAAAGGUACUAUGUCAGCCAUAUAACAAGUAAAUGAUACUAUGACAUAUGUGUAUUUAUUUUGAAAAACUACCAUGCAAGUGGUGAUAAUAUUAAAUUCAAUUACACAUGUCAUACAUGCAGUGAUUGGUUGUAAUACCUUUAAUGUCUUAUAGAAUUCCUCCAACUUCUGGUAUCAAUUUGCCUGCUGAAAAAGAUGCGAGUUAAGUAGUUCCAGACUUCCAGAUCAAAACUAUUAAAACUGGAAAAGGAAAUAUAUAAGAAUCCUUCACCACCCAAACCCAUCACAAAAUGAAUGGAUAAGUAAAUGAAGAAAGAAUGGGAAAGAAUAGCAUUUUUCAUUUAUAGCAUCCUGAAUUAAUUAACAAGCGCAACAUUGAAACAUAAAACAAAGAUCAGAAGAAUAGAAAAACCUGAAUCACAAACAGAAUUAUCAUUAAUAUCCACCAACCUUGGCUCCCUCUAAGUCCGUGUGGAGGAACCACCACGGACCUGAUUUUGAUAAUAACCUGAAGAUAUGAAGAAAUCAUCAGGAAAAAUCAAAAUUAUAAAGCAAAGAAAAAUAUGCCUAGAUUGAAUCGGGAUAAGCAGACCAGCAACUUUUGGCAUGUAAAUAAAACCAAUUGUCAUUUAAGUGUCCAUUACCUGACAAAACCUGCCACUGUACGCAAACCCAUAAAGAGUGUCAAGCCUGCCCAAACCCCAGGAAGACCAGUAGCACGAGGAGCAUAUAACAAAAAUGUAGAUGACAUUGCUCCCACUAACAUCUACAUGUCACAAUACAAAUGUCAAACAAGAACACAGAGCAAUUUAACAACCAAAAAAGUACUCAUAUCAGAAUUUGAGUUUAUGAAGGUGAGGGUUACCAUAGAGCAAGCAGCAUAUCUAAAGUCUGAGACACCAUAAUGAAGGCCAUCAAAAAUGAAAGCUAAUGCAUUGAUAGGUUGACUUGCACUAACAAACUGCAAGAAAUUUAAAACAAAAUAAUUAAACCAAAAAAAAACGUAGCGGAACCCACAUCAUCUAAAAAACAUAAAGGUGAGAAGAACAAAAUAUUCAUACAUACCAAUACUCCAGUUCCAACAAUUCCCAACACUUUAGGAUCUUUGGUGAAUAAGGGUGCCAAAGAACCAAAAGAUAGCCCCAAAAUCGUAGCCAAUGAAACACCUGUGAGUACUCCUAUCUGAAAAAGAAAACAAGCAUCAAGUUCUAAAGUAAGCCUGCAUAUGGAACGUAGAAAUCCUGGAGAAAAAACCUGAAAAUUCUACCAAGGGUUUCUGGACAAGAAAACAAAACGGAGAUGUAUCCAGAAAAUGCUUACUUUUAACACAAAGUUGGUAAUUUCUCUAACGGUCUUGAAGUCCCCUUUAGAUACAUAACUAGCAAUCAAGGCCUACAAAAUGAAUAGUUUUUGGCGUCAACAUAAAAUUAUACAGAUAUAAUUUUCGACAACUAGCUCUUCUCAAUUAACUCAAAACUCAUAAACAAUCUACAAUGAUUACCUUUGGGGAAAUUAUCUUCACACCAUAUUUGUUUUGUCAUAUGUACCUCUAACCACUUCAAAAUUUUGACAUGUUCUUUGCACCACUUUUGUUUUUAAGUUUGUAUCAAGAAACUACUUUGACACUAAAAAAUGACCACUUUACCCCUUAGUGAAUUAAAAGACCAUUUUAUUCUACAAAAUUUUAAAAAAUAAAAAAAUUAUAAUUACAAGAAUACACUUGAAUUUAAUAAAAUAAAUAAAUCUCAAAUCUAAUUUGUCAGUUUUUUAUAAUUAUAAUUUCAUUUAAAAAUUAUCAUGUUAAUUUUUGUAAUUAUAAUUUUAUUUAAUUUAUAUAGGGAACUUUCUUAAGAUCAAUUAUAGGAAAGUUUACAAUAAUUAUAGGGAGCUUUUCUCUUCAUGUUAAUUUUUGUAAACUUCCCUAUACUUAAUUUAAUUACAAAAAUUAAAAUUGCAAGAGGUUAAUUUUUUAUAAUUAUAAUUUCAUUUAAAAAUUAUCAUAUUAGAUUUUCAGAUUUUUUUUUUUUUUGAAUUUAGGGGUCUUCUUGUAAUUAUAAUUAUUUUAUUUUUCAAAAUUUUUUAGAGUAGAAUAGUUUUUUGAUUCAUUUAGGAGUAAAAUAAUUACUUUUAGUGUCAAAGUGGUUGAUUAAUACAAAUUUAGAAAUGAAGGUGGUGCAAAAAACAUGUCAAAAUUUUGUGGUGGUUAGAUUUACAUAUGACAAAACAAAGGUAGUGCAGAUAUAAUGUGCCUUACCUUUUUCUUUGGUUAAUGUUGUCGAAUAGAAAUCAAAUAUGAAGAUAAAGAACUAAAAAGUUGAUAUAAAUAACGUAUUAAAAAAAAAAAAAGAUAUGAAUAAUGUUAAACCUUAAGUGGAACUGGUAUAAAGGAAAGAUGCAUACCUGACCAGAGGCAGCUAGUGCAUCAGUAAGAAGAGAUACAGCCAACCAAACUUGCAUGCAUAUCUGGUGCGCAGCCAUAGCGUCUGAACCUUGACGAGCAGCCAUUGAAGUCCCCAGCGUCAUUGUUAUUAAAACUGCAAGUGUUCUUCCUAGAAGAAAGCCACCUGUAGAAGCCCAUUAUCAUAAGAGAUUCAAAUCAACAACUGUUACAAUACCAAAGCUUUAUUUGUAUCCUGAAAUUGCUGGCAUUGAUUAAAAAAAAGUAGAGGAGUAAAAUUCUGAAAAAAAAAAGGCAAGAGUAAAAAUACCAGAUUUUACAUAAUCACCAAAUUGCAAUGCUCCCAUCUUCGGAGGCAUUAGUACAACUUUCUUGUUCAAAAACCAGAUCAUUGUAACAGCAACAAUGUACCUAGCAAAUGAAGUUUAGUUAUAAUUACAGUUAAGUAAAGGAAAUAAAACAAAAAGAACGCCACUGGAAAAGUACAUACUGAGACACAACAGUAGAGAUUGCCGCUCCAGGCAUACCCAGUUGACAGAAAUAUAUAAGUAUGGGAAACAAGAAUACAGCUAAUAAGUUGCCAAUACCUGCAUACGGAGUAACUACAUCAGUCAGAAGAGAAUUUUUAAAAAAUUAAUAAAACUAAAAGGUAAAUAAAAAAUCAAACAGUCAUAAUAGAGUAAUCAUCCUAGACAUAGGUAUUAAUUAAGUACAUGGCAUACAUAUCUGGCUUCUCUUUCAAAAUUGCCAGUUUUAAUCAGCAAUAAUCCCUUAACAACACCUGUGGACGUACAUAAUAUAUAUAAAUAAAAUUAUUCACUACAUCCUACAGCAUGAAGGUCAAUAAUGUUUGAAAAAUAAUCACAUCUAACAACUGCCCAGUGUUAACAAAAUAGAGUAUAGAGCUUAAAUGCACACUCAGAAGGUAGUACAUACAGAGCUUUCUCAUUCAUAAUUGACAAGCUUUAACAACAAGGUGAAUGAAGCAUGUCAAGCUUUCGAUCAUAUCAAAAUGAAAAGAAGCCACAUAGAUUUUAGUGGAAAUUUUUAGUGAUUAUAACUCAAAAUACAUGGAGAAUUCUGCCAUCAGUACUUUAUACAUCCCAAAGUAAAACCAAAUACUUGCCUAGACAUAAAACAGGGGUCUUUGUAUCUUUAAAACCACGGAAAAUGCCUUGAAGAGCUAAAGAAACAACAAACGCUGGAGAACCAAGGGCUCUUAGCAUGAGAAAUUUUUUUGCUGGACCAUGCAUCGCAGAUGCCUAUUAAAAAAUGAAGUCAAGGAGCAUAGACCAUAAGAUUAGUGAGUAAAGGUAUUAAAGAUCAGCCAAAAGAAAACCUUCCAAGCAUAAAUUUGGUAAUAAACCAAUAAAAAGCAAGAUCCAGAUACCGAAACAAAAACAUAAAACACAAAAACACUCACAGUGGAAACUGAGAGAAGCAUAGUUUACAAAAUAGGCCAUACAUGAAACUAGAGAUAUAAAACUUACUGAUGGUACGCCCAUCAAGUUAAGAAAUGGUCCAGAAGCCAAAGAUAAAGCUGCAGCCUCAAAGAUGCCAAUCCCAACUGCUAACAGCAAAGCCGUAGACACCGAGGAUAGUUGCUUUCUUUCAGUUGUCCCAUUUGGAGGUUUACCAUUGCCUUCUAGGCCUGCAUAACAACACAAGUCAGACAGAUGGAAUGUAAAAAAAGAAAUUGAAUCUUCCAAAUUUCAGCUUGAACCAUGAAUCUGGAAAUAAACGCAUAUUCAGGAAAAUCACCAAUUGUUCGUUUAUAUUCACCUGCAGCUAAAUCCUUGGUUAAAUUCUUUGCAAUAUCUUCAGCAACAAAAGAGGUAGCAACACUGAGGAGAGGAAUAUUAAAUAACUUAGAUACAAUAUUAAAGAUCGAUAUAGAAACACCGGCUGAAGCCAGCUCCACAGAACCUGUGGAAGCAAAAAGAGUUAUUAAUCCUUCAUUAGAUAACAAUCAUCAAAUUUACGAGCGUAAACCAAUAAAUUAUACAGUAAAUCAACACCAUGAUAAGAAAUUAUGAAUUAAAAAUCAAACCUACCUAAUCUCCCAACAUAAGCUGUCUCCAUUAGCUGUGCUAAGGGAUCAAUGACCUGCCCAGCGAUUGCAGGCAAAGUAAGCACUAUAAGUUCAUUUUUGGCAUCUUGAGUAUGUGAUUUACUGGCAACCUCAAUUUUCUCAACCAGAGUAUGUGAUUCACUGACAGUUACCCCUCUCAUUUCACUGCAAAUACUAGUAGAAAACCAUUUAGACAGAUCCAUAUCUGAAAAUCAAUCAUCUUUCUCAGUGCAAAUAAACAGGCUUAACUACCAUUUAGAAAUACAUCAAAUAGGCAAAGCAAGCAUCAUAAACCGACUUAACUACCAUUUAAAAAUACAUCAAAUGGGAAAAUAGGUAACUACAUUAUGUCAACAAGCAUAAAAUUAACACAAAUGCCUUACUAAAAUGCUAACUUAUAUAAACAAUCAAAUGAUGAGUUUGUGCUCUGACCUGUGCUCCUUAUUUGAAUUGGUGAAGCCAUUCUCUUCUCCCAAAACCAAUCUCGUCUCAGUGUCCAAAGAUUCCACACUACAAUCAGAAUUUAACUGAUCAUAAAUCACUGGAAAAUUGUGCUUUCUGCGACGAGUCAGCAAUGAUGACACACAAUUGCUAUGUUCCAAAGACAGGCGGCAGCUACUAUCAAAUGCUGCACAGCCGUCACCAAUUCGACUUUGUUGCAAUGAAAAACGCGAUGCAUUUGCUUUCGCAACUGUGUUCCACAGCCUAUUUCUACUUCCCACUCCACUGCAAAGUCUACCGCCACCAUUAAGCUGUGCAAUCGUCAUUGUCUAUAAUACAAUGUAUUGCUGCGGUAACAUGCGAAAGCGACACAUCAGAAUUCGAAAUAAUUUCGGCCCUUAAACGUCCACAAUCAUAUCAAUAAUACAGUCAAUUUAAGCAAAAAGAUUAUUUCUCACACGGUUUGAUACUUUUAGUGUCAAAGAUAUUAAAAAAAGAAAAAAAAAACUUAUUAAGUUCAUUUCUAGAAAGAAACUAAAACCCAAUGUUGACUAAAUUUUUUUUUUAAUACUAAGAACUAAUUUAAAGGACCAAAAAAAAAAAAAAACUGGACAAAAAGCAAACUUUGGAUCUGCUGGGUUAAGAAACCAAAACAGAGGAAAAACAUGAAGGAUCGUAACAAACAUCAAUGAUAAAAGAGCAGACACAAAGAGCCAACAACCACAAUUUUAUUACAUAGCAAAUAAAAUAUAAUAAAAAUUGGAUUUUUACCAGAAAGUGAGUGAGAAAAUAGGGUCUCUGUUUGCUUCUAACUUCUCGGGAAAAUAAGAACGACCCAGAAAGGAAAAUGAAAUUGAGAACCCGAAAUUGGCUGCAAUACGAGUAGUAAGGUGAAAAAAAAUUAUAAAAAAUAAUAAUGUUAUAUAAACGAUGAACACAAAGAUAUGCAUGUUACCUUUUACGUGGCGACCAAGUUAUAGACAAAAAAUGAAACAAGAGUUUUCUUUCACAAGAACAACGGAGUUGAAGUUAUAUAUGAGAAAGAGAUACUGCAACUCAACCAAAACGGAGAGAAGUUGGUUCAUUUUGUCAUGCCCCGUGGAGCUUAAGCGGCAUGCUUCGAUAUUGGUUAAAGCACUGCCCAAGUGGGCCACUUGGGUUCAAAACUAUGGGCUGCUGAAAUUUUAAAUACACCCACUACAAUUGGGCCUGAGGUUCCAACCCCGUUUGGUACCCAAAAUAAAAGCUCUCCCAGUAUUUGACAGAAAAACAAUAUAUUAUUUGUAUUAUAGAUUCUAUUUAAACAAUUGUACAACUUUCAAAUUAGGAUUGAUUCUAUUCUAUUUGCCAAUUGCUUUUAAAAGCGAGAACAACUUAAUCCUCAAAUCUCUUUUGGGCUAAACGUGUUUCACUAUUACUAAGUGCACCCAUAUAUCCUUUCGAUGUUAAAAAUUUUAAUCCCAUUCCUCGGGGUGUAAAUCCAAAUGGGUGAUUAUUAAUCAGUUCAAGGGUUACUUAGCUCAGUGGUGAUUAAAUUCUUCAACUAUUAAUAUAAAUGCACGCUUGUUUUGGAACAACUUAAUACCAUCGGCUCAGUUGUAUGCUAAAAGACAAAGACUUCUCACCAUUACUAAAGUUUUAUGUUUCUUUCAUGCAAAAUCAUAGUGAUAGCAAAAGAAAACAUUUGUCACAUUGCAUUGGAAACAACUGAUUUGACACAUUAUACGUGAUUCAUUGAAAAAAAAAAAAAAAAAAAAAAAAAAAAAAAAAAAAGAGAAAACGUUUCUUCGAAUCAAAUGGGGCGCAAAAUAGUUUUAUUAUCUACCAUUGAACCUUUGAGACAACUAUUUUUAAGUUGAAGGAGUUUAAUAUACAGCACUUGCAUAUGUUGAGCAUGAAAUGAUGCUCUACAUUACACUUCCGCUCCUAUUCUGGAUACAACAUUGAGAAAAACCACAGCAAGCUCAAGAUGCUACUGAAUAAGAUGAAAAUGGAGAAGGACCAAGAAAAUCGAGAUUAAAAGUAAGUUCCAACUCCCGAUCCUCGAAGCGUUAUUACUAGGACCUGUUUGUCAACAAUGGAAAAAACAUACGAGUUUAAAGUCAAUGAUAAAAUAUUUCAAUAGGCAAAAACUUCACAUGAUAGAUUACACAGUCAAUUGCACAAAUUGGCAACUAAAUGAAAGUUGAGGUUAAAAGGUACAGAGCUACGUGGCAUUGGUUCUCGGCCUUUUCAAGGAGAACUAGUGAUGGAAUAAUUUUGAACAUAUAGGAGCUUUUCAGUGGGUUCAUCGCACAAAAUAUUCCAUGCAAAAUCUAAAACCUUUGUUAAAUGAAAUGCCAAUGCACUUGCAAUGAGAGAAUGGUAUUCCAAUGCAAUGAGACAAUCAGAACAUAGAUUUGGAGGGCAUUUAGACAAAACAAUGGAUGUGAUGAUAAUUUAAACUUACUUGGGCAAGUGGAUAAAGAGUUCAGUGUUGUGAGGAUGGACAGGUUAUUAUAACCAGCAUAUUCGCAAGUUGUCCGAUUGCAAUUAUUUGAAGUGGUAGUAUUGCCAAUGGAUAAAGAUUCUGAAUCUCCACACAGCAUAGACGGGCAUGUUUUCCACCUGGAGUUGGGUGAUGAUGGUUGAAAUUGGGAAGGCUUGCAUUGUAAUCUGACCAAGCAAGAAAAGUUUACAGAAAAGAAAAUCCUUGAGAAAUCAUUAAUUAAAAGGCAAGAGAAAAUUUAAACAUAACGAGCUAUUAUGUAAAACACUUACGUCCAGUUGUUUGUGGCAUCACACUGGCACUUCACACAGCUGUUGGCAGUGAAUGUAUAAGUGCCAUUAGCAACACGUAAAUAGUUGUCGAAUGAGUCAGCUUUUAUCGAUGAGUUGCAAGCUGAAUAUAAGCAUUAAAACAUCAUCAGAUCACUAAGUUAUGGAAGAACACCCGUACAGAGACCAUAUGAGCCAUAAUACAUCCAUAUUCUGUCUAACUUGUAACCCGAAGCUUGAAUAUAUUGACUGCUUAACUCACAUUCUGUUUUUGCUAACUAGAAAUACUUGUUCUAGGAGGUCAUGUUUCACAGAAGGCACAGAAUUUAAGUCAGCCCUGGACAACUGAAGAGAGAGAACUGGAAACCAGGAGUGAAAAGAUAAAACAUCACCAGGAUUGGAGCUGAACAAAUAACCACCUAAUAUAAUUCAGAAAACAAGCACCCAACCUAGUAACAGUGACAACCUUUCCGCACUUUCCCUAAUCAAUUGGCGCAACAAUUUGAUGCAUUUCAGGCAUUCAGCCCAAAUUUAGACCAUACUGUAACCUAUUAAACAAGAUAGUCCUUAGCAAGCUACCAGUUGUAACUGGUUAAGACCGGCCUAUUGUAUUAAAAUUGCUCAUUAUAUGAAAACUUAAGGGUGUCGGCAAGCCAAGCUACAUAGGAGCAACAUGCAGCUUAAUAAUUUAGUGGGACAAGCUGUACAAUAACCGAUGUCAAAUGCUGCCGAGGACCCUCUAAAAUCGGUCAUUUAUGUUCCCAAAUAUAAAGAUAUCCAAAAGAUGCACAAGACUACCAGCGGUAAAGAUAUAAAAUAUCCAAAUAAUACCACCUUAUAUGUGCAAAAAUAUUAGUUCCAUAGGAACCAUUUUACUUGGAAUCACUUCCCUUUAAAGUACACAUUUCCAAAAGUAGAAAGUACUUGACAAUAUAACCUUAAAGGAAAAAAAAAAAACCUAAUAAACCAUUAAAAAAAUGCCCUCAGGUAUUUACAUUUUUCCAAAGAAAAAUAAAGAAAAUUAAUACAAAACAAAAGGCUGAAGAAGAGUACCUUUAAGAGGAACAUCAAGUGGUUCGCCGGCAAUAAGCUUACUAUCAUCAUGAAUGCCAUUAAGUUUCAUCAAAGUAUCUCUAUCGGUUCCAAACUUCUGAGCAAUUAACUCAAACGAGCUCCCCUCUUCCACCACAUGUGCAUAGUGAACCACCUUGGCAUUAUCAACAUCAUCACAGCUACAGGGCAAUGGAAUUGUCAAAUUUUGGCCAAUUUGGAUCAAAUCUGGGUUGCUAAUAUUAUUAGCCUCCACAAUUUUCUGGUACUUCAGCAAUUGUCCGAAAAUUGUUCUUGCUAUAAAGUCUAAGCCAUCAUCUUUCUUUACCGUGUACACUGGCACUUUGUCGGACACCCCUGUAAAAAUUGAAAAAAAAAAUUAAAAUAAAAUAAAAUGGUUUGGUUUUUGCUCAAAAAAUUAGCCAAACUCAAGAUCCAUUUCAGCAAAAUUAAAAAAAAAAAAAAAAAAAAGAUUCCUAUGAUUUUUCACUAAAUUUGGAAAGAUACAAUUUUGAAAAAAAAAAUUAUUAGAAGCAGUUAAUGUAUAUUACAAACUUAUAAUGAUAGAAAUGCUUUACUGGAAACCAAGUUGGAAGAAGUAAAUUCAUAAUACUUAAAAUCUUUAUAAAAAAUUGUGAAAUAGGGUCGCUAAGUUCUUCAUUAACGAUCACAAAUUUACCGUUACAUUUGUCAUAUCAUUAUUUUGCAUUGAACAUUGUAAAUCAAGACAUGAAGUUCGCGAAUGCAUCGAACAACAGUUGAAAAAUGUAACACAUAAAUGCUAGUUAGUUUAAUUAGUAAAAUCUCCUAAGAUUAGUACAAAAUGUUAUGAGUUUGAACACGUUAACGCGGUAGAAAAGCAAUUGAGUUUUCAUGUAUGAACAAAAUCUGCAAAGGUUUCAGCAUAAUAUGAACAUAAGAUAGUUUUGUCCUCCUAUAAUAUAAUAAUGGGUAGUCAAUUAAAAUACAGAUGACAUGUCAAUGUCAUGUAUAAAAGCGUCCACGUAAAAUGUGAGCUGGAAACGGAAGAGAUGAUAGAAACAAGUCGAGCCGUCAUGCCAGACUGUCAGUAGUCAUGUGAAAUUAAAUUAAAAUUAAAAUUAAAAGAUUUAUCAAUUUCUUUUUUUUGGUUUUUUUUUGGGGGAGGAGGGGGGGUGUCAUCUGAGGAGAGAGAGAGAGGAAAGAGGAAAGCACCAGUGCCGUUAGAGCAGAUGCAGUGGAUGGGGACUUUGAUGGGCUUCUGGGCUGGUACAGAGAAGUUGCGAGGGGUGCCGGGUGGGAAAUUAUUGGCGCCGAGGAUGCUGCGCAGGUUCUUGACGGUGAACAGUGAUUGAAUCUCCGAAAUGGUAGUUUUGUUGGGCGGCAGGUACCCUACUAGAGCUUGGCAUCUUGCUGCUGUCUGGGUGCUACACUUGAAGUCUUGCGCUGUUGAUAGUGUGCUCAGUGCUGCACAGACGGUGAAGAGGAGUAACACCAGUUUCAGCUGAAAAUUACCCAUCUUGUUAACUUUUCUUUGUGAAGUUGUGAGUAGUUUCUUGUUAUAUAUGCACUGGUAAUGGGGCUGUCCUCUGCUGUCUUGCUCUUCCUCUUGUGCUGAGGAGGAGAGGAGACUUUUGAAGUUGGAAGUCUGAAGUUUGAACAGCCUUGGCUUUGGUUUGUUGAUUCGCAUCACAUGGGUGGUCUUCAGUCUUCUCUUUUCUUUUGUGUAGUGUGAGCGUGAGGACUUACUUUCUGUUUUGCCUUGUCCUUCCCACGGGGGUCAUUUCUUCAAGAGUUGGUGGCAAUCACACGGUUUUUAUAGUACAUUAAUUCAUUUACCUUAGAAUGAGCAACAUAUAUAUAUAUAUAUAUAUAUAUAUAUAUAUAUAUAUAUAUAUAUAUAUAUAUAUAUAUAUAGAGUAAUGAUACAGUCACAAACUCUUGUACAAAUUUAUUUUGUACAAACUGACGUGACAUUAAUUCAUUGGUUGAAUGAAAAUAUAAAUUAAUAAAAACAAAUCAUGUGGGCCAAGUGAUAUUUAAUUUAACCAAUCUUAUCAUGACACAUCAGUUUGUACAAAAUAAAUUUGUACAAGAAUUUGUGGCUGUAUCAUUACUCAUAUAUAUAUAUAUAUAUAUAUAUACAUAUAAAAUCCAACGGACAUGCUCAAAUAUAGUUUAUCAUUUAGUUGAUCUCUACCAAAGUUAUUAAGGUGUACCAAAUGUAGACGCUAGUGGGUGUAUGAACUAAACUCGUCUGCUUGUGUCAAAAAUUGGUUCCCACAAAGAAUAUGCUGACUUUUAGUCAUCCUAUGUUAAUACCGGUAUUUGUAUAUCCCAAUUUUACCCAAGAAAAUAAUUUAAUAUACAGACAUAUAUAUACAUAUAUACAUAUGAAAAAAAACAAGUAUGUGCUAUUGUGCUUUCUCGUGUUGUGGAUAAAGAUAUUAUAAUAAGGGGCUUUGUGUGAAUGUGACCAGACUGAAAUCAUUGGAGAAUUGUAUUUGAGUCCAUCCAUCAUGGUAUCAUUUUAAUACGUAAUGCGCCAAACAUGACCAAUAAUUUUUAUACAACCCAACAAAUAUUACACUUAAAAAUUUUCAUAUUUUAUUAUAUAUUCAAUUUUUUUUUCAUCACAUCUAGGACAUACUGUUGGCAAUGAAGUUAGAGAGAUAAAAUUGAAGGCUUGGAGCCAUUUCAAUAGACAGACCUAAAAGCUGUAUACCAUUUAACUUAUUUGCUUUGGCGUAGAGCAUUUGAACACUUAACGAUAACUUUUUCUCGUUUGGCUUGGAAAAAAGUAUUGCCCCGUUCAAGUGGGCAAGUCAUUAUCGCUUGGCCGAGUCAAUGGUUUAUUUAAUUCAUAGAAGCAAUGUGGAGAUGCUCCAGUCUAUGGUCUUACACCAUUUAAAUUUCAAUACAUUAAAAAAUUUGGCAAUCAAUUUGACAAUGACGGAUCCCAAAAGUCAUCCAAACCAUUAUUUUCUUCUCAAAUCUCAAAACUCAAAAAGAAAUUUCAUAUGACUUGCAUCCACUUACCCUUCUAACAUUAAGUACUGAGAACCAGGAUCUAGUAGUAUGCAUGAGCAGGAUUCAAAACUUGAAAAUAAAACAACUGGAGUAUGUCAAUUGACAUGAAGAGAAAGCAAAUGCGAAUUUGACUUUGUCCUUAAAAGUCAAGCCAUGAUGAACUAGUCAAAAUUCAUACCAUGUUCUAAGCAUAAAUAAACGUCGACUUGAAGAACUAUUCUGAAAGGGAUUAUGCAUAUGAACAAGCAAAAAGUUCUAACAAAAUUGGAAGUAGGCCCAUCCAGCCUAAGCUUUAUCAUUAUCAAAAACUGCACUUAAUUAAAGGAAAUCAAGAGCAUAACCAUGAUUCUGUACUUGGUUAAAUAUAACAAACAAUAAUAACACCAAAAACAUGUGUCACUUCUCAUCCAGGCGCCGAAGCACUGAUUCAGCAAAGCUUUGUUGCCUGCAAGUACAAAAUGCUUAUGAACAAGCAAAAAGUUCUAACAAAAUUGGAAGUAGGCCCAUCAAACCUAAGCUUUAUCAUUAUCAAAAACUGCAUUUAAUUAAAGGAAAUCAAGAGCAUAACCAUGAUUAUGUACUUGAUUCUGUACUUGGUUAAAUAUAACAAACAAUAAUAACACCAAAAACACGUAUCACUUCUCAUCCAGGCGCCGAAGCACUGAUUCAGCAAAGCUUUGUUGCCUGCAAGUACAAAAUGACCAAUGAGCUUAAAGAGACCUAUUUUAUCAGUAUUAGAAACCAGUUCAGCAAGCAAAAAUAUAAAAAUGGGGUUGGUUUAUAAGCAAUUUAAUUCAUAGUCAAGAUGGGAAGUAGAAAGUGAUUUCAGGCAUCCUGAAUAUGUGCCAGAGCAAGUCAGAUCCACAGAUUUAUAACAAAACUUCUACGUUCUAUGUGGUCGAAUAGAGGAAAGUAAGCAAUGGUGGAUUUAACCAAUCACUACUAACAAAGACAAAAUAAAAUAAAUAAUAAGGCUCCGACAAAAUUUAGGUUUUGUUUACACCAGGAACAAUAGGAAGGAAAUUAAAGGUAUUUGAC